GCUAGCAGAGCCACAACCAUAAUCUCCUGUUCUGGACCAUCCUUUACUACCAUUGGAUUGAGAAUUUUAAAUAAGGAAUUCUCCUGCAUUGAAUGCAAAAAAUAAGAUACCAAGCUUCUCACUGGCUCUGAUUGGUUUGCAGAGAUGGGUUUUUGUCCUGUUAAAAGCUCAAUGAGAACAACUCCAAAGCUAUAAACAUCACUCUUCUCUGUAAAUUGAUUUGUUCGAAAAUAUUCAGGAUCCAUGUAUCCAAAAGUUCCUUCCACCCGGGUGGUUAGAUGUGUUUGCUCAAGUGCAACUGAUCUUGAAGUUCCAAAAUCAGAUACUUUUGCCCUAUAUUUAUCAUCCAAAAGUAUGUUACUAGAUUUGAUGUCUCGAUGAUAAAUAGGAGCAGAAGCAGCUGAAUGCAAAUAGAACAACGCAUUGGCAAUUUCGAUUGCAAUUCGUAAACGCAUUUCCCAUGUCAAUGGUAAUUCUUCAUUUUGUUUACGAAUGAGAUCGUAUAAUGUACCAUUUGGGAUGAACUCAUACACCAAUAGAGGAACUUCAGCUUCUAAGCAACACCCUAAAAGCUUAACCACAUUCCUGUGAUUAAUUUGAGAUAAAAUUAUCACCUCGUUAAUGAAUUGUUCAACCUUCUUUUCGUCAAAUUUCUUUCCUUCCACCAUUUUGGACUUCUUAAUAGCCACAAUGCUUCCAUCUAUUAGCAUCCCUUUAUAAACAGUCCCUUGACCUCCUUGACCAAGGAUUCGGUUCUCAUUAUAAUGAUCGGUCGCCUUUUCCAUCUCUUUCGAAGUAAACAACUUAAUUUUUUUAACAUUACCUUCAGACGAAUGUUGUUGCAGUAACAAACCUCCAUUCCUUUUGAAGUAUUUCUGCUUCAGCAUGAUUUUUUUUUUCUUUUGAGGACUUUGUACAUACUCCAUGUUGCGAGUAGUAGAAAUAGUGUCCCAAUACUAGUGCUGCAACCUAUAUAGAUAUAAGUAACAUUGUUAAAAGUUAAAUUUGAAAAUUCAAAUACAUUCUAAAAAACCAUGAGAAUGUUUCAAUAAAGUUUUAUUCAUAUUUGAAAAAAUGAGAGAACCUUAUUGCACCAUCCAUUGUUCUGAUAUUGAACUUUUACAAAUUUAAUGAUAAAUAAUUGUUAUUGCAUCACUCAUUCAAAAAGUAAAUAAAUCAUUGCUUGAAUUUACAUAAUCCAAUAAUCAUAAUGAUUUCACUUUAAAAACAAAAAAGUAUAAAUUAGCACGUACCUAUAAUAAUGCUUGUCAAGCUACGAGUUGUUUGAUUUUGUAUAUUGCGCUCACAACGAAAUCCUGUACUAUUAUAUUUAUAAUGAGGAGGGCAAGACUCUGGCGAGCAAUAGUUGCUAGGCAUAUUCAAACAAAGUAUGCGGCAAUACUGAUAAUCCCCACAAUUCCAAUCUGUCAUUUAUGAGUUGAAUAAAAAAAAGUUAUAAUCGUAUUAUUCAAACUUGAAUAGAAACAGGUUAUCUUUAAAAUUAAAAUUUAAAGAUUAGAAAGAGACUGAGAAGUAGGUUAUCUUUAAAUUUUGUUAUCUUUUUUUAUUUUUAAAGAAAUUCAAUCAUUGAAUUUGUACGAUUUAUUUGCCACUUCAAACCUAGUAGCUAUAUACGUUUAGAGCUCUAUGGAUGUUUAAGAGUUUUGUACCAAGAAAAAUAUGCAAAAUUAUCUUCAAAAGUAUAAAUUUUCUUCUUCUUUUUUUUUUUUUGAGAAAUUCACUGUAAAACUAAAUACAUUAGUGUAAAAAGCUAAAAUUGUUUUACUCUCUUUUGCAUCUCUUUAUAUUAUUAAUAUUUUGACAAUUCAAUUGUUGAAUUUAAUAUUUUAUUCAUAUAAAUCAUUCAUGUCAAAUUUGAUAUAAAUUAAAAAUUAAACAAUUAGAUUGUUAAAAUAUUAAUCGUAUAGAGAGAUACAAAAGAGUGUAAAAAAACUUUCAUUUUAUAUUGAUGUAAGUGGAUUACUCUCCAUAUUUUUUUACACACUUAUAUAUAUAUACAAAUUUUACAUACUUUAUAAAAGAUGAUUUUGUAUGUUGAAUCUUCAACUGAUUAGUAUAAUUUAGUCAUGAUAUACCUCAACUAAUAAUAACUAGAUUAUGAUACACUAACGACGUAAGUGAAAAAAAUUAUAUAAUAAUUUAUUUAUAAAAAAUAUUGAUAUAAAAAAAAGAGUUGAUUGAAAUAGUAAAGUUAAGUAUUAGCUAUCAUGGUGCCUUUGUUCAAAUUUUAUUAUACUUAUUUUUUAAAAUUUUACAUGAAAUAUAAAAUGACAAAAAUACUCUCAUAAUAAUAUUUGUUCUUUUAUAAAAGUAAUGGAUUUUCAUAAUUUCUCAACUAUGUAAAGAUUGAGUUGAGGGGUGGCACCAACUCAAAUAGCCCUUUAAAAAAUAAUACUAAUUUACGAUACACCCAUUAUGUGAAUGGAAAAAAAAUAUGUAAUAAGCAUAUUUAUUUAAUGCUUAUAUAAGAAUCAAAUGAAUCAUUGGUUGAAAUGGUAAAGUUAAAGUCUAAAAUUUAUUGUGUGAAAAGUUCAAAUUUUACCAUGUUAAAUUUAUUAUGAAUUUUAUAUAAAAAUAUAAAAAAAUGAAAAUACCCUUAAAAUAAUAUAACUUAAUAUAUAUAUAAAAAUAUGUUAAUAAUUUUUUCAAUUAUGGUAUACCUAUAAGUAAAGAUAUAAUAAAAAAGUUUCCUAAAAUAAGGUUAAUUCAUACCUUUGCAUGACGUUAAAAAAACUCCAAUAUCCUUGUCGCACACACAUAAAUAAUUAGAGCUCAUCCUUGACCAACAAUAUUUACCCUCGAGUGUACAAGAAGCGCCCAAACUAUCAUUCAACUUGCACUCUCCAGAUAUUGGUGUGCCCCAUUGCAGUUGUGUUGGAACAUGCGUUAUAUUACUUAUAUUAAAGGUCAGAUCAUAGUCAUAAGAAACCAUGGAAGCAAAUCCGCAUGAUUUUUUCCUCCAAUAAUCACUAGAAUCAAACCUACUACUCAUGUUUACGUAGAAUGGACUGAGACCCCAAGGAAUAUUAACAAGACAACCAUCAAUAGAGGAAGCCUCGUUAUUAAUCCUACAACUUGGUUGCAAACAUCCUCCAAUAAGAUUAUCUAGUUUGCUGCUGAAAACAGUAACCAAAUUACCGCAACCUAAAGACCAGAAGGUGUUGUCUGAAUUUGAGUAGUAAAAGCGAGUGCCUGUUAAGUUGAGACUCGUCCCGUUGUGAUGGUUUUUCUGACAGUUGAAGUAAGUUAUUGGAUGGUUGACUUUGACUGUACCAUACAAAAAAUCAAUUUCUAGUAUUUGCAAAUUCAUGCCAUUUAUAUUUAAAAAAGGCACUUUUUGCCCAUGGUCGCUUUUGUUGCAAACUACUUUAAACCACUCUUUAAGAUCAACUUGGUCCUUCAUUGUAAAGGGAUAGUGAACAGUAACAUUCCCACAGGGCUCUACCUUGUAGGUGCGGAAGUUAAUAGAUCCCAGUCCUGGUCUUCCGCAUCCUGCGAGUUUAGCAAAAAAGGAGUAAAUUGCAAAAUUUACGAACAUCUAACGUAUAUAGGAAAUAAAAGCAAUGCGUUAUUCAAUAUAUAUAUAUAUAUAUAUAUAUAUAUAAAGAAGGUACUCUUUAACUAAUAUAUUUAACUAAAUUUUCUGUUAUUUGUGACAUUAAAUUCAAUAAAGACUUUCCUAUUGAAUUUGAUGUGAUACAAUAUUUCUAAUUAAAAUACUUGCAUUUCAAAAAAAAAAAUCAAUUCCACUUUCAUACCUAUCCUCUCUUUACGUAAUACUUUGUUAAUUUUAUUCUAAAAUAUUAAAUUCUUAAUUGAAUAUGAUACUUGUGCUAAUUUCUAAUUUAACUACUGAGUUCAAAUCUUUUUAUGGAACUAAUGAUUUCAUUUCAAGAACAAAUCAACUUAGGCUACAUUUAUUCACUCAAAAUAAUUUUCGAAAAAUAAUUUAUAUUUUUGGAAAAGUUAAUAUUUUCUAGUAUUUAGAUGAAUCUGUGUAAAAUAAUUUCUGAUAUUUAGAUUAAUCUUGUAAAAUAUUUUCUAUUAUUUAGUAGAUUUCUUAAAAAAAUUUCAUAAAAGUUGUUUUCAAUUAAACAAACAUAUAUUUGAGAUGUUUUUCAUUGUUUAAUUGAAUUUAUUUUUAUCUAGAAUUUUAUAUUUUACAUUUUUUUUGCAUAUAUUAAAAAUAUUAUAUUAAAUUUAGGUUCAUUACAACGUCAUUUUUUUAACUACAUGACUACCGAGUGAGUAUUUUUUAUUUAAAAAUGUGACAUCAAAUUUGACUUGAUUUUUAAAUUUGAAAAGUAAAAGGACUAAAUUCUUGAAAAUAAAAAUACAAAGACUAAAUUGAAAAUUUGUGAAGUGUGCAUAGACUUAUGACAUAUUUAACAUUAUACUACAAACAUUUAUUAUUAAUAUAUUUUAAUAUAAUAUUAUUUAUAUUAAAAUAUUAAUAUUGAAUAUUUUAAUAUAUGUGAAUAAUACUAUUUAAAUUUAUUUUUUUAAAAUUUAUUAUUAAAAUAAAUUAAACUAUUACAUCAUUUUUAUUUUAAUACCUUUAUUUAUUCUAUUAUUAUACUCUCUAUUUAUGACUAACAUCUCAUACUUAAAUCUGUCUGUUUACUCUAUGAAAACUAUCCUAUUUUAUAUUUUCCCUAUUUUUAAAAAAUAAAUUUAUUCUAAAUCUAAUACUAGCUUGAUUAGUUUAAUUUUUAUCUAAACAUAAAAUCUUCUCUAGAGCUCUUUUUUCGAAAGUGACUUACACUUUUCAACUGGUAUGUCUUUUACAGAAAAGAGCUUAUUUUAGUUGAUCUAUACGUUUUUUUCAUUGAUCAUGCUGUUUUAUGUGAAACAAACACAGGAAAAUGUAUAAAACAUUUUCCGUGAAACUUUUUACAUGUAAACAAACUGACCCUAGAUUUAAAACAGAAUCAUUAUAAACAAAAUUAUGUAAAUUAUGAAAUGAAUGGAAACAUAAUACAGAAAUAUUAAAAAUAUAUAUAUUAUGUUAUAACAGAAUAUAUAUAUAUACACAUAACCAACAUGAAGCCAACGAAAAAAAAUAUAAAAAUUACAAUUUUAACUCCUCUAAAAAAUAAUAAUUUAAUUUAAUUUAAUUUCAUCUCAUUUAAGUAUUAGUUCAGGUUUUUGAAUACAAAACUUUUAGGUAUAGCCAUUUUUUGUCCUAAAAAUCUUUUAGGUAUAAAUUUUUGAAAGCCAAAAUUAUUAAUAUACAAAAUGAAUGAUCCUAAAAACCUUUUUUAGAACUUAUAUGAUUCUAAAGGCUGGUUUUAAACAAUUAGCAAAAUCUAUAUAUUAACCGAAUUAAAAGAAGAAGAAUAAAAGCCAAGCAAUUGAAGUGACAGCGCGUGACUGACCUCCGUCACCGCAAUAGGUAGAAUUCCAGUUGAGCACGGCGGGAACAUGCGUAGUUCCAUUAUUGAUGCCAGUGGGUAAUGGGUAAGCACUACGGAAAGAGUACUUGCUAAAGAUGAAAGCAGAUGCGCAUCUUUUGCUGUCAGGAUACAUGGCUCUCAUGUUUACGGUAUAGGAAGUAAGAUUUGCAGUAAUUUGAGUAAAGCAGCCAGAUUCAGAAGCACCAUCGUCACACCUUGGUUGAAUGCAGCCGCCAAGUGAAACAGCUUCGUUACUUAAAAUAGUAGCCAAAUUUCCGCAACCUACUGACCCGAAAUAAUUCCUCGUACUUGAGAAGAAAAAGGGAGUGCCUAAGAGAUUGACCCUCCCACUAACCUCGUUUAUACGAUCACAAUUAAUGUAAGUAACUGGAUUGUUGAUGAGAAUGGCGUUUGAAUAUAAGGCUUUUCCAAGUACCUCCAGAUCGAUGCCAUUUACGUUUAUGAAAGGCUUGUCCCCACUGGGGGUUUGCUUGCAAGUUACGCGAAACGAAGGAUGAGUAUAGCAGGUGAUAUUGAUUAACCCAAAAGGGGAUGGAAUUGUAAUAUUUCCACAUACUUCUUUACGACAGGCAGGUUCUUGAGAUUCUGCUGCUUGUAAAAUUGAGCACAACAGGAAGAGGAAGAGGAGUAAGGGGAUGAAGUAAAGCGCUAAGUGAAAACCCAUUUGCGUUGUUAUUUUGUUUGAGGGAAAUGAAUGAAGAUUUAAAGAAACAAACGAUGUUUGAGGGAGAAGCAAAUGAAAAGUAUUUGCUCGCACUUUCCUUGAAGUUCCAGUAUAAGUGCAUUUGAUUUGAGAAUAAUUCAUUAAUUUGUAAAGACUGUUGGAUACAAUUUUCCAGCUACACGUAAGAGGUCUCCAUUCAAAGAGUAGGUUACAAAUAAAGAGUUAAGAGACAACUAAAAGGGAGAGUCGAGCCUUGACCCCUAAUUUGUUUUAUAUUCCUUCAAAUAUUUUUACAAUGGCAUUAAGAAAUAAGGAUAAUUUAUGUUCCUUCCUUCAAAACUUUUAAACAUUUCAAAUCAUAUUGUAAAAUAGAAAGCUUGAAAUUAUAGAUUAAAUAAAAUUAUUUUUAAAAUUUUAUUAGUUAAUAUUAAUUUAAUUAUAUUGAUAAGUGGAUGAAAGAAGUGAUAAAAAAACUUAAUUUAAACUAUACAUCAAAUGAAGAUAUAUGUGAUUAUAAUAAAUUUUAAUUAAUUUUGUACUUUAUUUUUGUAUAGAUAUAUUUAUAUUAAUUAUUAAGUUUAUUCAAUCCUAGUUGUCGAUAAAGCUAGAAGGGAGGAGAUAACAAAGAGUGAGCAGUAUCCUUAAUGAGUGAUAGUAAAGGUGAUUGUUCUUUACAACAACUUGAGAAGAAAUUCCGAGGAAUGUCACUUUUGAUGCUGGUCCUAUGAUUAGAGGUUUCACAUUUUUAUUUACAGCCAUUCAACAUAGUUAAUAUCGUAAGUCUAACAAUUAUUUAUGUUUUCGAUAUACAUGAGUAUUUUUAGACAUUUAAGUGAAAUACUAAAUAAAACUCUCAAGUCAAGUUAUAUUUUAUAAUGUUUUUCAAAAUUUUUAAUAAUUAUUAAUAUUUUAUUUUUUAUAUUUUUUUAUAAACUUGGGUAACUUUUACAUUUUUUAAAAAUAUUUUUAAUAAUUUAGUAUGUCACAUCAACAUGCUUUCACAUAGCAUACCAUAUGCUAACUUCUCAUGACUUCCGUAAAUCAUAUAAACAACGUAUAAUAUUCAAAGUAAUCAAGAAUUUUGAUUUUUUAUUGAGUGUUUUUUAACAUUUAAUUGUAUAUUAAUAUUUAUUACUUUAUUAAGAAUUGGUUUUUAUGUAACUGUCCUGACAAAAUUGGUAUUGAGCUCAAUAAAAUAUAUUAUAUAAGCUUAGAUAUAACUUCAUUAAAAUCUGCAAAGAGAGAAAACAUUAUCAAUUUGUUUCAAGUCCGUUUUUGAGCAUAUGAGAAAUUUUGUAGAUAGAAGUUGAAUACGAUUUUCUUUCUAGUGAAUUACAAGAAAAGGGUAGAGUUUUAAUAGCAACGCGACUUAAACUUAAACUACAUUUGGGGGAUGAAUACCUUAACCAUUAAAUUAAUAUAUGAAAUUUUAAUACGAUAUUUUGAAAUAAAGAGCCAACUCUUUGGAAAAUAAAUUUCCAAAAAUUUCCGAGUCAUAAUCUUUUGUGGAAUGGAAAAGUAUAUCCACAAAAUGAUCGAAAAGGCUUUGGGCCACAAUUAAAUCAACAUCUUUAAAUUGUUAUACCAAAUUAAAGAGGGAAUGGUCUUUGUCUUAAAUUCAACCUCUGAAAUUAUCAUAAUUUCAUAAAUUUUGUUUGCAAUUGUUUGGAAAUAAAAACAAGAAGGUGAUUGGCUCAUCUUGUUUUUGGUGAGAAAGUAAAAUAGCAGCCAACAUGCAUGCAUUUGUUUUGUGGAAACUAAAUUAAAACCAAGGAGGUAUCAUUAUCAAGAAAUAUGGACCAUAAGAAGAUUCAUUCCUUUUAUUAUAUAUUAUUCAUACUAACAACAUAGAAAUUUUCAUGAAAAAGUAAGUUCCAUGACAUCCACUGAAGCAAUGACAACAAUUGGCCCCUAUAACUGUCGAAACCCUUUUUUUUUAUUUUGAAAGCAAUGGGGAUCGACUUGUGAAAACAAAAAUGUGGAGUCGCCACCAAUCUCUCGAUUUAGGUGUGAUUGGACCACCUACUAAAACGCUUUAUUCGUGUAAAAUAAAAAAAGUGGGUUCGGGAGUCAGUUACGUAUGAGGAAGGGUUAGCACCCUCAUUACGCCCAAAAAUUGGUACCAAAUUGAUUUGAUGCUAUCCUUAUAUCAAAAGUUUUAAAAGAAAAGAUUUUCUCAAAAUACGAUUCUUUUUUUUUUAAAUGUUCGAAUAGUUUAAAUUAGUGGUCAAAAAUCCUUCGUUUCAAAGAUAUGCAGUUUCAUACCCAGUACGAUUAGAUGCGAUCCUUAUACCUUUAAAACGCAAUUGGUUUUCGACUUCUUUAAAAAACAUACAUUAAAAUUAUAAAAAGGUUAUCCAAAUAUUUGGUUCUCCGUAAAAGUCAUACCCAGUACGAUUGAGCAUGAUUUUCCGAAUUCCCCAAAUAUUAGAUAUCGCCUUAUUUCAGAAUAACGGAAAUUUAGAAAUUUGCUUAAACAUGUUUAUUGAAAAUAAUUAUGAUAAAAAAUACAAAGUUCAAAUCAAAUUAUGCAUGAAGUAUUUAAAACACAAAUUCAUUCAAAAAUUGAUAAUUCACAUGAUAACUUUAAAUAAUGUAUUAAAUAUGUAGGAAUGACAAUGCAUGAUAUAAAAUAAUAUAAUAAAUUUAUGAAACAUGUAUAUACAAGUAAAAUUAAGUAUAAUUGUUUGUAAAAAAAUGUAAGAAAGAAACAAAGUAAAUAUAUAAGGUAUAUGGGUAACAAAAGUUUCUAAAAAACAAGGUUAUAUACAAAACGUAAAAUUAUAUUUACACGUAAAUUUAGUAAUAUAUAUAUUAUUAAGAUUAUAUUUAUAAAGGGCAUUUGGAAACUAAUAAUAUAUAAUUUUACAUGUAACAAACUGAGUUAAAGUGAUGGAACAUAUAGAUAGUACAUACAUAAGGAUAAUAAAAUAAUUUAUACAAUAUAUAAAUCGUAUGAUAAAACAAAUGGUCUUUAGAAAGAAUAUAUUAUACAUAUAAAUGACUUUAAAGGAUAAUAUAUACAUUGAAAGAAAAAAUAUUUACAUAGAUUUACAUGAAAGUAAUAACAUGUACUAUGGUAAAAAUAAUUUAGCAUGGGUAAUGUACAAAUGAAGAAAUUUUAAUGACAAUUGUAUGUCCAAAAUAAUAUUGAAUAAAAUAUGAAUUAUAAGAUUAACUUAAUUUUAUCAUAACUUAUAUACAUAAUAAUUUUAAAAACAAUUUUAAAAACAUAAUUAUACAAAAAUAUAUAUAUGUAUAAGACUAUCUUGGUUUUAAUAAUGGAUGCAAAUUAAAUAUAAGUUCUAAAUAUAUGUUUAAUAAUAACUUAAAUAACACACAAAAUAUGAAGAAAUAAUAAUACAUGGCAAGGUAUUACACGCAUGAUAGAUUUUUUACAUUUAAAAACUUAUGUAUAAAAUAAACACAUGUGAAAUUAGAAAAUUAUAUGCAUAUCAUUUUGCUCAAAAAUACUUAAAAGAAAUAUUAAAUAACAUACUAGGAUAACAUAAUAAGGAGACAUAUUUCAAAAAUAACAAUUUUAUAAAUACCAAGAUGAAUUUUCAAAACACAUAAAGACAUGUAAAUUAAACAUAAGUUAAGAAAUACUUCAAGUAAUUUAGGUAUAUAAAUAUAUUAACAACACUUAUUAAUAAGAUAUUAAAACAAUGUAAUAUAAAAUGAAUUUUACAACAUGCAAAACAAUAGUUAUUAUAAAAAACUAAAAAAAGAAUGAUUAAUAUACAAAUAUAUGCGAAAUAUUUAAAGAAAUAAGAUACAUGAUGUAAACAAUCUAAAAUAAUUGUACAAAUGUACAAACAAAAUUAUUAACAUGGAUUAAAGCAUACAAAUAUUGAAUGUAUUCUAAAUUAACCGAUUAUACAAAUAUAAGACUCAAUUAAAACUGCAUCAAGAUAAGAAGGACAAUUUGUAAAUAAAAUGACCAUAAAAUAGAUCAAUGCAUAACAUGCAUAAAUAUAUAGGGACUAAUAUUGUAAAUCCUCCCAGGCCUGAAUCACAUCACUGUAUCAUGGAUUAAAAUGAAAAUGCGCUCAAAUCAGCGAGCCAAAUUGAAAAAGAAAAAAAAAACAAAGCAAAGCAAAAAGGAAGCAGUUGAAGCCCCAUGCGAAUGCAAAGGACUUAGCGCGCAAAUUAACCAUUUGAAGCACCAAAGUGUGGAUCCAGCCUAAUGGCACCGUUUUCAAUUCUGCACAAUCAAUUCUAAAAAACUAAAAUCCAAUAAAAAAAAACAAAGACCUAUUCCCUCUUUUAUUUGCCGUUUCAACUUCACAUAAUGCUCUCAAUUUGGGAGGUUCCUUUCAACCUUGAAAUCUCCUUUGAUUUGAUUUCAACAAAACAAAGAGAAGAAAGCAAUGGCCUCUUCACACGGUAAGUUUUUCUUCUUUUAUUUCUUUCUUUCGGUUUUUGAAUGUGAAAAAUAAACUAAAAAAUAAAUAAAUCGAAAAGAAAAUCAAGAAUCUCAAGAACUUUCAAUCACUUUUUAAUUUCAGUAACUUUUUUUAUUUUGGUAUGCAUGUGUAUUUCUGAAAAAAAAGAAGAAGAUCCCCCAUUUACAUCGUUUACAUUCGGUUUUAUAGCCAAAAAAUGAGUAAAUAAAAAUACAAAAAAUCCUUGCUGUAAUCUGUUAUUAUUUGCUGUCAUUUGCUGUUGUGGUUUUCGUUUGUUGCAGGUGUGCAUGGCGUGGAGGAGUUAUUUGCGGAACAUGGCACGAGUGGAAGAAUCAACUAAAGGCUGCGGUGGCUGAAGCUUCUAAGGUUUCUGUUGAAAAUUCCCUAGGUGUUUUGGACUUGGGGUAUUUUGGGUUAAAUAGGCUAGUUGGAUUAAGUUUAAUAAUUUGAACCCAUUAUUUUGGUUGCUGACUAUUAUUUAUAUAUUUUUUAGUUUUUUUUUUGUUUGUUUUGGUUUUGGUGUAAGCCCGGGCACAAAUUGAGUCUUACAAUAACAAUUGCAAAAACACCUUGACUCUUCUAGAAAUCCAUCAGUUUGGAAACUAGACCGUUUAUGCUACAACGAGAUAAACACUUUAGAAAUAUCUGCUCUCCAAAGUCAUCUUUGUUCAUCUUCAAUUUCGUCCUUAUAUAAACAAAACUCCAACAUAUAGAAAAAGAAAUGAUAACCCUUGAAAUCCUUAAUGUCCAAACCAUAUUUAUGCAUAAGAAAUUUGCAUAGGAGACGAGAAAAUGGAAUCUGAACUUAAUGGGCAAUUUCGUCACAGUCAAUCUAAAGUUUAACAAUUUAGGAUCUUUUUAUCCAUAUGGUGUUCCAGUUUUUCAAUAUGAAUUCGGUUCAAAGAAAAGGAAAUUACUUUAAAUUUGUAUAAUUAAUUUGGAUUUAAAAAUAUUUUUUAAUAAUUUGGUAUAUGCCACAUUAGUAUACUUUCACGUAAUUUCUUAUGAAUCUCACACAACACAUUAUAUGUUAAUUUCUCAUUAAUUUUGUAAACCAUGUUAACAAAUAAUAUUGUUCAAAUCACUCCAGAACAAUUCUAAAAAUGAAUUUAUUGAGAAUAUUGAAUUACAAGUCGGAACUUAAACACGUAUGAUUCAGUUUUAUCUAUGAUGCAACUCGAUUGAUUAGCCUUACAACUCGGGAAAUGUUUUAAAAAUGAUUGGAAUAUGUCCACCACUUGCUUAAAUUGAAUUAUUAUAUAACUUACCCAUUGCUUAGCAAAGGUUGCAUUGCCUACACUUUGGUUCAUCAUGUGCCCACCCCACCCAUUUUAGAUGUUCAUUUUACUAUUUACUUUGAAAAAGAAUCGUCAUCCCAUGUAUUUCUUGAUGAUGCAUAAAAAUAAUUCCUUAAAAUUUUACUAAUAUAUUUUAAAAAUAAUUCUUUUUGUAAAUAUUAUAAAUGUGAAAGGGUUUGAUACUCAUGUUUGAAGUCAUGUUAACUCAAUCACUUACUAAAACCAAAUUAAAACAAUUAAUUUUACAAGAGUGGCCAUAUGGCACUUUUUAAUUUCACUUCUAAAGUAUUUUCUUUCUAUAAUAAAAAAUGAAAAUGUGAGAUAAUAAAAUAAUAUCAUCUAGAUUUAAAUUAAACGUAACAAAUAUUUCACCCAUAAUAUAUAAAAGGUAUUUAUAUUGACCAGCAAAAUUAAAUUUCUUUAUUAAAAUAUUUUUAUCUAAAUUUUAGGUCUAAUUCGAACAAAAUUAAAUUUAAAUUGUACAAUAGAUGAAGAUACUUGUUAAUUUAAAUUAAUUAAUUUUUAAUUAAUCAAAUAGGUAUAUAGGUAUAUUUAUAUUAAUUGCCAAGUAUAUACAAUCUUGAUUGUGGAUAAAGCUAGAAGGUAGGAGAUAGCAAAGAGUGUUAGCCUCUUGCCCAAAAUAAAAGGCAUUAUCCCUAAUGAGUGAUAGCAAAGGUGAUUGUUCUUUGAGAAGAAAUUUUCAAGAAUGUCACUCUUGACCCUGUCCGAUGACAAGAGGUUCCACAUUUUUAUUUAUAGCCAUUCAACGUGUAAGGAGAACUAGUAUCACAAGUACAAGAAGAAAUUCCAUCACAACUGAACAAAAAAUUUCCAAGUAAUAUUCUUUUAUGGAAAGGUAUUCUCAAUAGAAAAAUAUAUCCACGAAAUGAUAGAAAAGGCUUUGGGCCACAACUAAAUCAACAUAUUUAAAAUGUUAUACCAAAUUAAAGAUGGAAUCGUCAUUGUCAAGACAUCAACAUCUUAUUACUUUAUACUCUAAAGGAAUUUUGUUAAUUAAUUACUACUUUAAUUAUGGAUAAUUUUGCUAAUUAUUUUUAAAUUAGUACUUAGUACCCCCUGCACCAUGUUCGGGGUGUUCUGUUUCUACGACUAAUGAUUUUCCAAUGAUUCUUGAAUGAAAAUUUUGAUUCAACGACAAAUUGCAAUUUCAGAUUAAAAUUAUAUAUAAAAAAAAAAAAAAUCCCCCAUCUGUUGCAACAUUGAACAGUGAAAUGGUUGCCUGAGAUUUUCUAUGUAAGCAAAGAAGCAAGAAAGAAAUUAGUAAGGCAGGUACUCAAGUAUAUAUCUUUAGCAAGAAAAACUAACAAAGGAAUUCUCCAAUUUGAUCCACUAUUGUGUUUUCUUUCUAUGGGAAGAACAUUAAUCAAUGUCCCCUGGUUCCAUGAAUUUUCUGCUUCUUUAAAAAUAAGAAGAAGAAAGAAAGAAAAACAUCAACUUUAGCCCUACAAUCAACUUGUAUAAAUUCGUUAGUCCUGAAACUAUGGCCUUAUUCUUAACCAUUUCCCUUAUUCUAGGGAUACUGCAGGCUACCAUCCUUCUAAUUUCCUUUGAUACAACUGUGUCAAUAGCAGAUCCAUCGCCAUUGGAGUCCAAAGCCAUAUCGCUGCUAGAAAGCGGGUGGUGGAGUAACCAUAGCAGCAAUACUUCACAACGUUGCCAGUGUCCUGCUAUAACCUGCAACACUGCUGAAAGCAUUACCAAAAUUGACUUAUCUGAUGCGCCCAACAUUGAGGUUGCAUAUAGAUUUGGGAACCAGAACCAGCAAAACAAAACAACAUUGAGGUUGCGCCCAACAUUGCUGAAUGAGCUACAAUUUUGUACUCCAUUUUGUUUUCCAUAUUGCAUCAGAAAUGUAAGAAUAACCAUAUAUGAACCGGAACCAUAAAUUUAAGGGGAAAUUUUAGAAAAAAAUCUGCUCUUCAAAUUCCUUUGGUCUAGCAAACAUUAGGUCCUUCUGCAACGUAAUGUUGGUAAAACAACCAAGAAAGAAGGCUCAGAGAAGAGUAAAUGACAGAAUAAAAAAUUCACUGUUUAUUUCUCAAUGAAAAAUAACAGAGUACAUGGUUUAAAUAGUGCUAGUGGUAACUAAAAAAAGCUAAAAAUUACGAACACUAACCCAUGAUCACAACCAAAUCAGAAUAAGAUUUUCUUAAUACCCACUAACUGAUAAAGAUAAAAACAUGUAUUAAUUAUAGCAGUAAAUAACAUUUUGAAUCAUUAUUUUUUCAACAGUGAAUGACAAAGUCAGUCGGCCAUGGUGUUGGUCCUCCUUUCCCUUUCUUGAUGUAAUUUUGUUGCAAUAUGUGGACACUUCGUUGGGACGAAAAACCAUAAUUUACUAAGGUGAGAGGAUAUGCAAUUUAACGUGAUUAAACUAUUAGUAAAUUUAUAUUUUGGUCAUUCAACUUAAAAAAAUUUAUAAAAUGAUUAUUGAGCUAUUCUAAAGUUUUAAUUUAAAUGGUUAAUAUUAGUAAAUUUAUAUCUUCAUUUAACUAAAUUGGGUUCAUUGACUCUCAUUAUAUCUCUUCAAAUCCACUAUAUGCUUAGAAAUUUCGAAGAAAGAUGAAAACAAUGUUAUGGACAAUUUCAUCGAAAUUGAGCCAAAGUUUUCCAAUUAAGAACCUUUGGUGGGAAAAUUGACAUUUGAAUAAUCAUCACAUACAAUCUUUAUUUACAAGGUGUUCCACAAUUGCAUAUAAUACAUUUCCAAUUUGGUCCAAAGAAAAAGGAGGAUACUUUAAAAGUGCGUAAUUUUGAAUUCAAAGCUUAAUAUAUGUAAUUUAUGCUUAAUACAUUCAAUAUUUAUGUGUGAAGUAAACUUAUCAAAUAUUAAAACAAUGUCUCAUUCAUCAAUUUGCAUAAAGAAAGCACUAAGCCAAACCAUUUAGAAAGGAGGGACUGAUGCUCAUGGCCUGAGUUUUAUUCUGGGUGUUUAAAACUCUUCAAUUGUCUUUAAUAAUUUCAUUCGUUUUGGUUUUUUAUUUUUAUACUAAGGUUAAGUUUGGCACUUAUUUUAAGUUUAUGAAUUUUAAAUAUUCUUUGAAAAAAUUUCAAAUUAUUUUUUAUAAAUAUUUUUAAAAUUAAAAAUAUUCAAUAACUUUUUUAAAUAUAUAUAAUUUUUAAGUUAUUUACAUUAUUUUAAAAAUAAAAUAUUAUUUUUUAUAUCAUAAAAAUUAAAUUAAUUAAUAUAAAUUAAAAGUAUAAAUCACUUUUUAACCCUUAAACUUAAUUGUUUUUCUUAAGUUGAUACCUAAUAUUUUUGGAUCUAAGUUGGGACUUGAACUUAUAUUUUAGGUUACAUUUUACUCAUUUUUAGUAUCAAUGUUAAAUUAUGUUGACAUACAUUGUGCCAUGUUAUCACUUUAAAAUUUAUUUAAAUUUUAAAAUAUUGAAAAAAAUUUAUUUAAAACUAUAAAAAAAUAUCAAUUUUUAUUAAAAAUUAUAAUAAAUCUAUUUGAAAAUCUUUUUAAUUAUUUUUCUUUUUUACUUAGAAUUUUUUAUUCCUUUAUAAUUAGUUAUACAACAAUUAUAACAAAUCUUCUAUAUUUUUUUGUUUUUUUUCCUUUUUACUCGAGAUUUUUUUUUUCCUUCAAAACUCUAAAAUGUUUCUUCCCUAUCUCUUUUCUUCGUCACCAUCCCGCUUGCCACCCCCAUCUGGCACCACCCCCAACCUAGAAAUGGCACAAAUUUGUUCUUCUCUUUCUCCUAACUUGUAUCAAAUCUUAGUUAAUUCAGAAGCUUCCUCAAAAAUCGCAAUUAUGAGCCAAUCGAUCAAAUUGCUUGAGUUUUGAGCAAUGAAGCACCGACACGGGAAAACCCCCUCGUACUAGUGUCGUAUUAGUAUCCGACUUGGACACACUGCCGACGCUGCCGGAUACGUAUCAGAUACACCUCGAUGCGUGUCAAAAAAGGGACAUUGCUGGAUUUUCUUUUGGCCUGAAUCAGAAACGAAAAAAAAAACAUAUACAAGGACAACUUUAGUAAACCAAUAAAAACGAAAACUUUAGCAUUUAAUUGUGAUAAUUUAUGGAACUUUUAACAUACUUGUCUUUUUUGGAGUCGUGGUAUAAUUUCUUAGACCUUCGUGUAUUCGCUUAUAUGAAGAUGAUGAUGAUGGAGACUUUGUAGAUAUGGUUUUGUAGAGAAGAAAGGCAAAGACAAAGGUAAAGGCAGUAAAUGAAGAAAAAAAAAGGGGUCAAUGAAGAAGAAAAGAAGGGGUAAAUGAGUGUAUGAAAAAAAAAUAGUUAAUGUACUUGUCUAGUUAUAAUGGGAUAAGAAAGUCCAAAAAAAAUUAAAGUAAUAUAAAAAUAGUGAAAGUAAAGUAUAAUAAAAAUAUGUGAGACCCAUUAUAAUAAGAAUAUAUAUAUAUAUAAUAUUUGUCUAGUUAAUGUAUUUAUUAGAUUAAAAAUAUUUUUUAAAAAAUUAAUUUUAAUUAUAAAUUAAUAAAUAUAUGUGUGGCUUAAAUUUAGAUUUGAUAUGACAUGUUUUGUGUAAUAAACUUGAAAAAUGUAUUACUAUGUUUUGUUAUAUUUUAUGUAAUGAUAAAAGAGUUUAAUGGAAAAGAAUUGAUUAUAUAUAGAGGCGAAGCGAGGGGGAUAGCAUAGGCCCCAGCCCCCUAAAAUAUAAAUUUACUCUUUUGGCCUUAAAAUUUUUUAAAAAUUUUAAAUUAGUAAAGUUAAAAUUACACUUUGUCUCCCCUAAAAUUAUAAAAAUUCGAUUUAAUCCUUUACAAAUUAUAAACAUAUAAACUAUAAAAUUAAAAUUUUAUCCGGCCCCCCUAAAUAUUUAUUCUGGCUUCGCCCUUGGUACUCACACCAACCAAAUCCAAUACCCAAUAGCAAACUAACAAAAUACCAAGCUCUUCGCUUGCUUCUUUGCAACUGAUUCUUGUGUGCUUAUAGGAUCUCCACUAGUUUGACGUUUCCUAUUUGGUGAUUUCAACUUCACUGAAGAGCUUGCAGUUAAUGUCCAACCUGACUGUGUUGUAAUUGACCUCAAUCCAGACUGAAAAUUGUAAAAUUAUAGCGAGGUAAGUAGUUAUAAAUUAGCAAAAAUUGAAAUAUUGCUAAACUAAAAACUUACAUAGAAUGUUUGCUCUCCAAUUUUCAUAUUUGUGUAGAGGCCUAACCCAGUGACAGACCACCUUCGAGUUUUCAUACUCAUGAAAUGCUUAGUUGUGGAAACUAACCUAACUUUUUUUGGUUGAUUCUUCCUCUCCAAUAAGCAAAAACAAAUUGACAUAUUGUUAGAUAAGCUUAUAUCUACUUAAUAUUAAAAAUAUAUAUAGAUUUGUAAAUUACCAAAAUAUUUGCCGCUUCAACUUGGGAAUUUUCUAGGUCAUUAAUACUCUACAGCAAAUAAAAAAUGGCAACAAGCGUCCACAAGUCAAUUUUAAAUGGCAGCAUAUGAAAUAAAAUAAAAUAAAAAAAAUCAUACUCAAAUCAACUUUAAAUUUUAGAUACAUGUUGCGGACAUCCUCGUUGGUUAUGAAAUUUGUUGAGACAAGAUGAAUACUGAGUGGCACUCGAUUAUGUUAACUGUAGAUUGUAAUUGAGGUGGUUAAAUAUUUGUUUUAUUUUAUUUUACAAUUUAAUGAAGAAAAUUUUUAGAAUUAAUGUAAUUUUUAUUGAAGAUAAUAUGAUUCAUUUGUAAUAGCUUAAAUUUUAGUGGUGUCAGAACAGUGAUUCGAGAUCACUAAAUCUGAAAAAUGAGUAGAAAAUAUUAAUAAUUUGGUGAAUAUAAGUUAAAUAUGAAGUUAGGAAAAAUUUUUGAAAUAGCGAAUAGUGUACUAGAAAUAAAUAUUACCAAGUGAAUGAAAGAAGUGAUAAAAAAAUUUAAUUUAAACUGUACAUCGAAUGAAGAUAUAUGUGAUUAUAAUCAAUUUUAAUUAAUUUUGUACUUUAUUUUUAUAUAGAUAUAUUUAUAUUAAUUAUUAAGUUUAUACAAUCCUAGUUGUCUAUAAAACUAGAAGGGAGGAGAUAACAAAGAGUGAGCACUAUCAUUAAUGAGUGAUAGCAAAGGUGAUUGUUCUUUACAACAACUUGAGAAGAAAUUCCGAGGAAUGUCACUUUUGAUGCUGGUCCUAUGAUUAGAGGUUUCACAUUUUUAUUUAUAGCCAUUCAACAUACAUGUCUAAGAAUUAUUUAUGUUACCGAUAUAUGUGGGGUUUUUUAGACAUUUAAAUUAAAUACUCAAUAAAACUCUCAAGUCAAGUUAUAUUUUAUAAUUUUUUUUAAUUUUUUAAUAAUCAUUAAUAUUUUAUUUUUAUAUUUUUUUAUAAACUUGAGUAAAUUUUACAUUUUUUUAAAAUAUUUUAAAUAAUUUGGCAUGUCACGUCAACAUGCUUUCACAUGGCAUACCAUAUGCCAACUUGUCAUGACUUCCAUAAAUCAUGUAAACAACGUAUAAUAUUCAAACUAAUUAAUCAAGAAUUUUGAUUUUUUUACUGAGUUUUUUUUACCAUUUAAUUGUAUAUUAAUAUUUAUUACUUUAUUAAGAAUUGGUUUUUAUGUAAUUUCCCUGACAAAAUUGGUAUUGAGCUCAAUAAAAUAUAUUAUACAAGUAUAGAUAUAACUUUAUUAAAAUCUGCAAAGAGAGAAAACAUUAUUAAUUUGUCUCAAGUCCCUUUUUGAGCAGAUGAGAAAUUUUGUAGAUAGAAGUUGAAUACGGUUUUCUUUUUAGUGAAUUACAAAAAGAGAGUAGAGUCUUAACAGUAAUGUGACUUAAACCUAGAAUCCAUUUGGGGUGAUGAAUACUUUAACCAUUAAACCAAUAUAUAGAAUUUGAAUACAAUAUUUUGAAGUAAAGGCAAACUCUUUGGAAAAUAAAAUUCCAAAAAUUUCCGAGUCAUAAUCUCUUGUGGAAUGGAAAAGUAUAUCCACAAAAUGAUCGAAAAGGCUCUGGGCCACAAUUAAAUCAACAUCUUUAAAUUGUUAUACCAAAAUAAAGAGGGAAUCGUAUUUGCCUUAAAUUAAACCUCUGAAAUUAUCAUAAUUUCAUAUAUUUUGUUUGCAAUUGUUUGGAAAUAAAAAAAAGAAGGUGAUUGGCUCAUCUUGUUUUUGGUGAGAAAGUAAAAUAGCAGCCAAUGCAUUUGUUUUGUGGAAAUUAAAUUAAAACCAAGGAAGUAUCAUUAUCAAGAAAUAUGGACCAUAAGAUUCAUUCCUUUUAUUAUAUAUUAUUCAUACUAACACCAUAGAAAUUUCCAUGAAAAAGUAAGUUCCAUGACAUCCAUUGAAGCAAUGACAACAAUUGGCACCUAUGAUAAUGCUCUAGAAUAACGUAUUUUUAUGUAUUAAUCAUGUGUUUAUUCUGAGCUUGAUCCUACUAAUUUGAGCUAUUUAUAUCUUUUUAUCUUUUAGGGACUGAUUUAGAGGCAAAAGAAAAAUUAAGGGACAAAAGUGCGAAUUUGGAGACAAAAUGGGCUGACAUGCAACACAGGAAAAAAAUUGUGUCAAAAGUGCGAGCAUGGAAGACACAAGGACUAAAAAUGCAAAAAGAAGAGAUUUUAUUUUAUAAGACUACAUUUUAUUUAUAUUAGGAUAAUUAAUAUUAAGAUAAUUAUUAGGAUUAUUUAAUUUUAGGAUUUUAUUUUAAUUAUCUUUAAUUAUCUUUAAUUAAAUGUAUUUAUCUUUUUAGAAUUUAAGUUAAAUUAGAUUAUCUCUCAAGCACUAUAAAUAGGGAGUGAAGUGACUCUAUUUGGUGUUCGUCUUUUUCUGUAAAUAUUCUCUCCCUGAAAGUCUAGGCUUUUGUUUCUUCAUAUUUUCUUUCAAUAAAAUUCCUUUUUCCAUUUUUAUAUUUAUUUUCUUUUCCACCAUUAUCAUGAACCACUAAAAUCUAUCUUGCCGAAAGUUGUCAAUAUUCGCCAAAAAGGGUUCUUGAGGCCUAGAAUCCGUACUUAGCCUUCUCGCCAAGUAUUCAUCGUUUCUCCGCACUACGGGCUGACGCUUCCGUCCAUGGCCCUUAAGAAGUAAGCUUUUCAGCAUAUGCAAAGGCGGCCGCUUUGUAUGUUUUGGAAGGAUUGCACAGUCGGUUCGUUAACUUAUUGCGUCAGAGGUUGGCGAGCCAAAGAGACAAAAUAGCGUGGGAUUCGCCAUUAAGAAGCGUUGAUCUAGCAUAAAUUACUGGCUAGAGUCAGGUUCCCUAAAAAUCGUAAGUCUAAUCUUUGGAGCUGGUGGUCGUAGGCGUCCUCUUCCACUAUAACUGGCUUACUUGAGUUGAGAAGGGUUACUUAAAAGCCAAGGAUUGAAUCCAAUGCAAAAUGAGACAAUCGGAGGCUGGAAUUUCGCCACAUAAGAAACUUUCUCUUUUCCCAACUCUAUUUAUUUUUCCUCAUUUCAAUUGCUGCAAUUCAUUUAAUUUCGCAAAUUCAAUUCACUUUAAAUUCUAUUUUUAUUUUUCCAGAUUCUUAAUUUUAUUUUUUUAUUUUUUAGGAACGCAGGUUUUCUUGGCCAAGAAAUUGUCCAGGAUUUCAAGAACGAGCAUUCGUACAAUCCGAUCCUUGAGGAUUCGACCCUACCUCCCCUUUACUAUUAUUUUUACUAUUUUACAUGGAAUAGGAUAUUUUUGGUGCUCUCAAUGAUACAUCAAAUUUUGGCACCGUUUUUGAAGCAAUGAUAACAAUUGGCACCUAUAACAAUUGCAAAAACACCUUGACUCCUCUAGAAAUCCAUCAGUUUGGAAACUAGAACGUUUAUGCUACAACCAGAUAAACAUUUUAGAAAUAUCUGCUCUCCAAAGUCAUCUUUGUUCAUCUUCAAUUUCGUCCUUGUAUAAACAAAACUCCAACAUAUAGAAAAAGAAAUGAUAACCCUUGAAAUCCUUAAUAUCCAAAUCAUAUUUAUGCAUAAGAAAUUUGCAUAGGAGACGAGAAAAUGGAAUCUGAACUUAAUGGGCAAUUUUGUCACAGUCAAGCUAAAGUUUAACAAUUUAGGAUCUUUUAUCUAUAUGGUGUUCCACUUUUAUGUAUAUUUCCUGGUUUUUCAAUAUGAAUUCGGUUCAAAGAAAAGGAAAUUACUUUAAAUUUGUAUAAUUAAUUUGGAUUCAAAAAUAUUUUUUAAUAAUUUGGUAUGCCACAUUAGUAUACGUUCACAUAACUUCUUAUGAAUCUCACAUACAUAUUAUAUGUCAAUUUCUCAAGAAUUUCGUAAACCAUGUUAACAAUUAAUAUUGUUCUGUAAAAAUAGAACGUCGAUUAUGACAAUAUAUAGUAAAGAAAAGAGAAAUAAAAAAAAUAAAGCACACAAAUUUUUACGUGGAAACUCUUUCAAGAAAAAACUACGGGCAGAGGAGAAGAAAAUUCACUAUGUCGAAUUCGAACAAUUACAAGAGGAAUAGACUAUGUCUAUUUAUAGGCUUGUAAAACCAUAUUCUAAUAGGAGUGUAGUAAGGUUGAAAUACCUUAUUCUAAUCAAUAUCAAAUAGAUGGAGUUUAAUAAGGUUUAAAAAACCUUAUUCUAGAAUAAAAUAAAAGAAGUGUAGUUCUAUAUGGAUUUUACUUUUAUUUUAUUUUACCAUUGUACUUUAUUUAAAUAACGAUUCGGGUCACUCAAUUCUAACAAUCUCCACCUUGACAUGAAUUUUCAAUAAACAAGUUCUUCAUUGCGAACUCUCAAUGAACAAGUUCUCCACCUCUUCCAUAAAACCCCUUAAGGGUUUAACUUCAACAAUGAACACCAACCAAGUCUAAACAAUGCUCAAACUUGGUUAUAGGAAGUGACUUAGUCAUCAUAUCUGCAGGAUUUUCAUGAGUACUAAUUUUGCUCACAACAAUAUCACCACGAGCAAUAAUUUCAUGAACAAAAUGAUACCAAACAUCAUUGUGUUUUGUUCUCUCAUGAAACAUUUGAUCUUUUGUAAGGAAGAUGGCACUCUGACUGUCACUAAAUAUUGUAUUGAUUUGAAGGUCUUUAUUGAGUUCACUAAAGAGUCCCUUCAACAAAUAGCUUCUUUACGAGACACAGUAAUCGCCAUGUACUCAACUUCAAUGGUAGACAAAGCAACUGUAGUUUGCAAAGUGGCUUUCCAACUAAUUGCACAACCUCCGAUUGUAAAGACAUAACCUGUGAGAGAUCUUCUAUCAAGGUCUCUAGUAAAAUCAGCAUCAACAUACCCAAUGACUCCAUCUCUAGUUCUUCCAAAUUGUAAGCAAACAUCAGUAGUACCUCGUAAGUAUCUUAAAAUCCAUUGAAUUGCUUUCCAAUGUUCUUUACCUAGAUUUGCCAUGUAUCUACUAACUGCAUUGACUGCAUAUGAUAAAUCUGGACAUGAACAAACCAUAGUAUACAUGAGAGAUCUCACUACACUAGAGUAUGAAACAUUUAACAUGUACUCAAUCUCAUCAUCUGAUUGUGGAGACAAAGCUGAUGAAAGUCUGAAAUGGGCUGCUAAAGGAGUACUAACAGGCUUAGCACUCUGUAUAUAGAACCUGCAAAGAACUUUUUCAAUGUACCCUUUUUGACUUAGGUACAAUUUACUUACUUUUCUAUCUCUGAGAAUCUCCAUACCAAGUAUCUUCUUUGCUGGUCCCAAAUCUUUCAUCUCAAAUUCUUCACUUAGUUGGGCUUUGACCUUCUUAUCUCAUCAACAUAAAGGAGUAGAUACACAAAAGAACCAUCACUAUUUUUCUUAAAGUAAACACAACAAUCAAAACUACUUCUUUUGAAAUCAUGAGAAGUCAUAAAGGAAUCAAACCUCUUGUACCACUGUCUUGGUGACUAUUUCAAACCGUAAAAGGGACUUUCUCAACAAGCAAACAUAGUCCUUUUUUUCUGAUACUGUAAAACCCUUUGGUUGUUGCAUGUAAACAUCCUUCUCAAGUUCUCCAUGCAAAAAUGCAAUUUUUACAUCUAACUACUCAAACUCCAAAUCAUGCACGGCCACAAUACCAAGCAAAGCUCAAAUCGAACUAUGCUUCACAAUUGGGGAGAACACAUCUGUGAAGUCCACUCUCAGAAUUUGACUAUAACCUUUUGCAACAAGUCUUGCUUUAUAUUUGGGUUCUUCAACUCAUGGAGUCUAUUCUUUCUUUUUAAACACCCAUUUACAACGAACAACCUUUUAACCUUUAGGAAGUUUCAAAAUAUCCCAUGUUUUAUUUUUAUGGAGUGAUUUCAUCUCCCAUUUCAUCUCCCAUUUCAUCCACUUUUCUGAGUCUUCACAGCUAACCGCCUCAGAAUAAUUAGAUGGCUAUUGGUUUACAUCUAUAUCUUCAGUCAAAUUUAAGUAUAAGUAACUAAAUCAGUCUCGGCAUACUUCUUUGGAGGUUUAAUUUCUCUUCUAGUUCUAUUUUUGGUGAUAGAGCAUUAUGGUAAAGAAGCAACUCUAUUCUGAAUUUUUGUAUUAGCUUGAGGAGUCAACUCUGUUGUAGAUUUUGGAUUAAUCUGAUGCUCCACCUACUUUUGAUUUUCUUUAUUAGAAGAGUUUUUGAGAGAUAAGUUAGGUAGCAUAGCAGUUUCAUAAAAAACAACAUCUAUGCUAAUCACAACUUUUCAAUUUUUAGGACACCAUAACUUAUACCUUUUACACCAGUUUUAUAACUAAGAAAAACACAUUUAAUGGAUCUCAGUUCCAAUUUUCCAUUAUCAACAUGAGCAUAUGCAAGACACCCAAAGAUCUUUGAAUCAGAAUAGUCAGCAGGAUUGCCAGACCAUAGCUCUUGUGGAGUCUUUUUCUCAAUGGAAACGGAUGAAGAUCGAUUGAUAAAAAAAUAUGUAGUAGAAGCUGCUUCGGGCCAAAACAACUUUGGUAAGUUGGCAUUUGACAACAUACAUUGAACUUUCUCCAUGAUCGUUCUGUUCAUUCAUUCUACAAUGCCGUUUUACUGUUGAGUAUGACGAACUGUCAAGUGCUCGCGAUCCCUUCUGACUUGCAUAGUUUAUAAAACUCAUCAGAAUAGAAAUCUAAGCCAUUUUCUGUACGGAAGUAUUUUAUUUGUUUUCCUAUAUGUUUUUUAGUCAUAGUUUUCCAAGACUUAAAUGCGAAAAAUGCAUCUCUUUUCUGCUUCAGGAAGAACGCCUAAACUUUUCUGGAAAAAUCAUCAAUAAAAGUUAGCAUAUAAUUAGCUCCACCUCUCAAAGGCACUCUGGAUGGUCCCUAUAGAUCAGAAUGAAUAUACUCCAACGUUCUUUUCGAGUUAUGGAUCACUCUAGUGAAUUGUACUCUCUUUUGCUUCCCAAAAAUGCAGUGCUCACAGAACUUUAGUUUGCAAAUUCCUUGCCCAUCAAGAAGUCCUCUUUUGCUCAAUUCUGUCAUGCCAUUCUCACUCAUAUGCCUUAGGCGCAUAUGAAAAAUUUUAGUAAUAUCAUCAUCUAAAAAGGAAGAGGAAGCGACAACUGCAUCACUAAUAACAGUAAAACCUUGCAAAACAUAUAACUUGACAGUCUUUCUUUGCCCUUUCAUCACAACGAGGGAACCCUUGGAAAUUUUCAAAACCCUACUUUUAGGUGUGCAUGUGUACCCUUUUAAAUCAAGAGUACUCAAUGAAAUUAAAUUUCUCUUUAAUUCUAGAACAUGUCGCACAUCACUAAGUGUUUUAACAACUCUGUCAAACAUCUUAACUUUAAUCGUUCCAACACUUGCAGUUUUACACGAAGCAUUAUUUCCCAUCAAAACAACACCUUCAGACAUUGUUUUGUAAGUUGUAAACCAAUCUCGAUUGGGACUCCUAUGGAAGGUGCAGCCCGAAUUAAGGAUCCACUCUUCGCUCACUUUAGAAUUGUUGACAGAAGCUACUAGAAGUUCACCAUCAUUGUAUUCUUCUACAACAUCAGCUUCAACGGAAUUUUUUGGUUGUUUUCCCUUUUCAUUUGCAGCCUUUCUUUUGAUCUUGUUCUGUAUCUUAUAGCACUCAGAUUUAGCAUGUCCUUUCUUCUUGCAGAAGUUACAAGUUUUACCUUUUUUUGAAGACUUCGAUCUACCCUUAGAUUUACCACGAGGAUUCCGUUCCUGUGUCCUUCCACAAUCAUUAUCAGCAUUCCGUUCUUGUCUCCCAUGAACAAUGAGAACCUUUCUGAGAGUUAAUUUUAACCAUAAGAUGCUUCAUCUUAUCAUACGAGGUUAAAGAACCAUAAACCUCAUCAACUGUGAAAGACUCGUGGCUAUAUAAAAUCGUGUCUCUAGAGGUUGAAUAAGAUGGAGGCAAUGAACAAAAUAGAAUCAACCCUAGAUCUUCCUUGUCAUACUGAACCUCCAUGGCCUCCAACAUUGAGAGAAUUUCUUUAAACACAGUUAAGUGUUCGUGCACAGAAACACCUUCCUCCAAACGAUGAGCAUAAAGACGCUGCUUUAUAUGCAACUUGCUGGUUAGAGUUUUCGACAUACAUAUUUGUUCCAACCUCUUCUAUAAUGCAGCGGUGGUCUUCUCCUUCAUCACAUCCUGCAAAUUUUUGCUAGACAAAUGCAGAUGUAAUUGUGUUAACGCCUUUCGAUCCUUACGCUUCUUCUCUUCAUUUGUUAAUGUCGAAGGCAUCUUAUCUAUCCCUAGCAGGGCAUCCUCCAAAUCCAUCUGCGCAAGAACUGCUUGCAUCUUAAUCUACCACAACGCAAAUCUGGUGUUGCGAUCCAACAGCGGAAUUUCAUACUUCAAAAACGUCAUUACCGUGAUCAAGAUGAAAAACCCAGAAGCUUUGAUACUAAUUUGUAAAAACAGAACAUCGGUAAUGACAAUAUAUCACGAAUAAAAGAGAAAUAAAAAAAUAAAGAACAUACAUAUUUUUAUGUGGAAACCCUUUCAGAAAAAACCAUGAGCAGAGGAGAAGAAAAUUCACUAUGUCGAAUUCGAAUAAUUACAAGAGGAGUAGACUAUGUCUAUUUAUAGGCUUGUAAAACCAUAUUCUAAUAAGAGUGUACUAAGAUUGAAAUACCUUAUUCUAAUUAAUAUCAAAUAGAUGGAGUUUAAUAAGGUUUAGAAAACCUUAUUCUACAAUAAAAUAAAAGAAGUGUAGUUCUAUAGGUAUUUUACUUUUAUUUUAUUUUACUAUUGUACUUUAUUUAAAUAAUGAUUCGGGUCACUCAAUUCUAACAUGUUCAAAUCACUCCAGAAUAAUUGCAAAAAUGAAUUUAUUGAGAAUAUUGAAUUACAAGUCGGAACCGUAAACUAUGAAAAAGUGAAUCGAAUACGUAUGACUUUGUUUUAUCUAUUGUGUAGCCUUACAACUCGGGCGAUGUUUUAAAAAUGAUUGGAAUAUGUCCGCCACCUGCUUAAAUUGAAUUAUUAUAUAACUUAUCCAUUGCUUAGCAAAGAUUGUAUUGGCUACCCUUUGGUUCAUCAUGUGCCCACCCGACCCAUUUUAGAUGUUCAUUUUACUAUUUACUUUGAAAAAGAAUAAUCAUCCCAUAUAUUUAUUAAUGUUUUGAAAGAAAAUUCUGUCUAUCCAAUUUAUUGAUGAUGCAUAAAAAUAAUUCCUUAAAAUUUUACUAAUAUAUUUUAAAAAUAAUUCUUUUUGAACAUUUAUAAAUGUGAAAGGGUAUGAUACUCAUGUUUGAAGUCAUGCUAACUCAAUCACUUACUAAAACGAAAUUAAAACAAUUAAUUUUACAAGAGUGGCCAUAUGGCACUUUUUAAUUUCACUUCUAAUAUAUAAAAGUGAUGUCUUUUCUUUCUAUAAUAAAAAAAUGAAAAUGUGAUAAUAAAAUAAUAUCAUCUAGACUUAAAUUAAACGUAACAAAUAUUUCACCCUUAAUAUAUAAAAGGUAUUUAUAUUGACCUGCAAAAUUAAAUUUCUUUAUUAAAAAUUUUUUAUCUAAAUUUUAGGUCUAAUUCGAACCAAAUUAAAUUUAAAUUGUACAAUAGAUGAAGAUACUUGUUAAUUUAAAUUAAUUUUUUUAAUCAAUCAAAUAGGUAUAUAGGUAUAUUUAUAUUAAUUGCUAAGUAUAUACAAUCUUGAUUGUGGAUAAAGCUAGAAGGUAGGAGAUAGCAAAGGGUGUUAGCCUCUUGCCCAAAAUAAAAGGCAUUAUCCCUAAUGAGUGAUAGCAAAGGUGAUUGUUCUUUGAGAAGAAAUUUUCAAGAAUGUCACUCUUGACCCUGUCCGAUGACAAGAGGUUCCACAUUUUUAUUUAUAGCCAUUCAACGUGUAAGGAGGAUUAGUAUCACAAGUACAAGAAGAAAUUCCAACACAACUGAACAAAAAAUUUCCAAGUAUUAUUCUUUUGUGGAAAGAUAUUCUCAAUAGAAAAAUAUAUCCACGAAAUGAUAGAAAAGGCUUUGGGCCACAACUAAAACAACAUAUUUAAAAUGUUAUACCAAAUUAAAGAUGGAAUCGUCAUUGUCAAGACAUCAACAUCUUAUUAUUUUAUACUCUAAAGGAAUUUUGUUAAUUAAUUACUACUCUAAUUAUGGAUAAUUUUGCUAAUUAUUUUUAAAUUAGUACUUAGUACCCCCUACACCAUGUUCGGGGUGUUCCGUUUCUACGACUAAUGAUUUUCCAAUGAUUCUUGAAUGAAAGUUUUGAUUUAACGACAAAUUGCAAUUUCAGAUUAAAAUUAUAUAUAAAAAAAAUCCCCCAUCUGUUGCAACAUUGAACAGUGAGAUGGUUGCCUGACAUUUUCUAUGUAUUAAAAGAAACAAGCAAGAAAUUAGCAAGGCAGGUACUCAAGUAUAUAUCUUUAGCAAGAAAAACUAACACAGGAAUUUCCAAUUUGAUCCACUAUUGUGUUUUCUUUCUAUGGAAGAACAUUAAUCAAUGUGCCCUGGUUACUUCCAUGAAUUUUCUGCUUCUUUAAAAAUAAGAACAAGAAAGAAAGAAAAACAUCAACUUUAGUCCUACAAUCAACUUGUAUAAAUUCGUUAGUCCUGAAACUAUGGCCUCAUCCUUAACCAUUUCCCUUAUUCUAGGGAUACUGCAGGCUACCAUCCUUCUAAUUUCCUUUGAUACAACUGUGUCAAUAGCAGAUCCAUCGCCAUUGGAGUCCAAAGCCAUAUCGCUGCUAGAAAGCGGGUGGUGGAGUAACCAUAGCAGCAAUACUUCACAACGUUGCCAGUGUCCUGCUAUAACCUGCAACACUGCUGAAAGCAUUACCAAAAUUAACUUAUCUGAUGGGCCCGAUAUUGAGGUUGCAUAUAGAUUUGGGAACCAGAACCAGCAAAACAAAACAACAUUGAGGUUGCGCCCAACAUUGUUGAAUGAGCUACAAUUUUGAACUCCAUUUUGUUUUCCAUAUUGCAUCAGAAAUGUAAGAAUAAUCAUAUAUGAACCAGAACCAUAAAUUUAAGGGGAAAUUUUAGAAAAAAAUCUGCUCUUCAAAUUCCUUUGGUCUAGCAAACAUUAGGUCCUUCUGCAACGUGAAUGACAAAGUCAGUCAGCCAUGGUGUCGGUCCUCCUUUCCCUUUCUUGAUGUAAUUUUGUUGCAAUAUGCGGACACUAGGUUGGGACGAAAAACCAUAAUUUAUUAAGGUGGGAGGAUUUGCAAUUCGUGAUUAAACUAUUGGUAAAUUUAUAUUUUGGUCAAUUAACUUUAAAAAAUUACAAAAUAAUUUUUAAACUAUUCUAAAGUUUUAAUUUAAAUAGUUAAUAUUAGUAAAUUUAUAUCUUCAUUUAAUUAAAUUGGGUUCACUGACUCUCAUUAUAUCUCUUCAAAUCCACUAUAUGCUUAGAAAUUUCGAAGAAAGAAGAAAAAAAUGUUAUGGACAAUUUCAGAGCCUAAGUUUUCCAAUUAAGAACCUUUCGUGGAAAAAUUGACAUUUGAAUAAUCAUCACAUACAAUCAUUAUUUACAAGGUGUUCCACAUUUGCAUAUAAUAUAUUUCCAAUUUGGUCCAAAGAAAAAGGAAGAUAUUUUAGAAGUGCGUAAUUUUGAAUUCAAAGCUUAAUAUAUGUAAUUUAUGCUUAAUACAUUCAAUAUUUAUGUGUGAAGUAAACUUAUCAAAUAUUAAAACAAUGUCUCAUUCAUCAAUUUGCAUAAAGAAAGCACUAAGCCAAACCAUUUAGAAAGGAGGGACUGAUGCUCAUGGCCUGAGUUUUAUUCUGGGUGUUUAAAACUCUUCAAUUGUCUUUAAUAAUUUCAUUCGUUUUGGUUUUUUAUUUUUAUACUAAGGUUAAGUUUGGCACUUAUUUUAAUUUUAUGAAUUUUAAAUAUUAUUUAACAAAAUUUCAAAUUAUUUUUUAUAAAUAUUUUUAAAAUAAAAAAUAUUCAAUAAUUUUUUUAAAUAUAUAUAAUUUUUAAGUUAUUUACAUUAUUUUAAAAAUAAAAUAUUAUUUUUUAUAUUAUAACAAUUAAAUUAAUUAAUAUAAAUUAAAAGUAUAAAUCACUUUUUAACCCUUAAACUUAGUUGUUUUUCUUAAGUUGAUACCUAAUGUUUUUGGAUCUAAGUUGGUACUUGAACUUAUAUUUUAGGUAACAUUUUACUCAUUUUUAGUAUCAAUAUUAAAUUAUGUUGACAUACAUUUUAAGAUUUGUGCCAUGUUAUCACUUUAAAAUUUAUUUAAAUUUAAAAAUAUUUAAAAAUAAAAAACAAUUAUUUAAAACUAUAAAAAAUUAUAAACUUUUAUUAAAAAUUAUAAUAAAUCUAUUUGAAAAUCUUUUUAAUUAAUUUUCUUUUUACUUAGGAUUUUUUAUUCCUUUAUAAUUAGUUAUACAACAAUUAUAACCAAUCUUCUAUAUUUUUGUUUUCUUUUUCUUUUUACUCGAGAUUUUAUUUAUUUAUUUUUCCUUCAAAACUCUAAAAUGCUUCUUCCCUAUUUCUUUUCUUCGUCACUAUCCCACUUGUCACUGCCAUCUGGCACCACCCCUAACCUAGAAAUGGCACAAAUUUGUUCUUCUCUUUCUCUUAAACUUUCCACUAGAGGAAAAUAGAUUUUUAAUGGCACUUUUUUUUUUGGCUCUAUAAGCAUCGCAAAAAACACCGUUAUAAAUAACUCAACUAAAUUUCGCAUCGUUUAUUUGGGAAAACGCCGCUAUAAAACAUUAUAUUUAACUUUUGGAAAAUAUUGACAUCACAUAUAUAAUAAGGGUAAUUACAUGUUAUUAUUUACUAUCAUAAUAGGUUAGCCUAAAUUAAAAGUGAUCUAAUUUGGUUAAAAUUUUAUUGGAUUUAAUUAUUAAAUAAAGUAUGGGUCAAAUAUGUGCAGAUACUCUAGUAAUUAAAUUCUAAUCAAAUUCUGAUUAAUGAUGAGCUAAUUAGAAUUUGAUUAGAACUAAUAUGCCAAUGUUAUAAAUAUUAGGGUUAUGGUCCCCAAAUUAUACGUAAGAUAUCUUUUCUAAUAUCCCAUCAUUAGGAAAGAGAGAGCAGAUAUUCUCUGAAUUUCUUGUGUGCUAAUUUGGAAGAUCAAAUCUCCAAGAUCUGGUAAAACUUCAAGAAAUUCAUGGAUUCAGGUAUGCUUCCUCAUCUAGUUUUGUUCUUAAUGAUAUGACAUGAUAGAUCCUAGUUUAUUAAAUUUUAUUUCAGAUUUAUUUUACAAAUCUAACAAGUGGUAACAGAGCCAGGUUAUGUUAAGUCAUUAGGAAUUGAUUAAAGUUUCUUAUUUAAACGAUUGAUUCAUAAAUUUUUAUGGGUUUUAUAUUUCAGAUAUAUAUUGAUCUUUGAAGGCUUAUAUUAAAGUAUUUCUUUUUUGAAUUUAAAAAAAAGUUAACAGUAAAUAGACAUAACUUAAUUCAUAUAUAUAUUGAUUAUAUACAUAUAUAAUAAAUGCAUGUUGUUUUGGAAAUUUAUAUAAAUAUAUAUAAUUAUCUUUUAAUUUGAUUGAAAGAUGAAAUUAAGGUAAAUAUUUUGAAACAAAUAAAUUCAGAUUUUGGCUCUUAAUUAAGGAUAUCUAAUAUUUUAAAUAAAUUAGUUGAAACAAAAUGCCGUCAAAAUGACUUUUUUUGUGUAGAUUAGUUUAUUUGAAAUAUUAAGAUAAUUAUAUGUUUUUGUGAUUCAUGCAUUUAUUAAUUGACCCAAAGGUAAGUUAAUAUUUGGCAGAAUUUCAAUGACAUCUGUGGUGAUAAAUGUGUGACAAUUAUAAGGUAUUUUAUGUGAGCAAUAAGUUAGUCCAAAGAUUAAUUCAUUGUUUAACAUAAUUUAUUGUCAAUAUUUGAUUGCUACAACAAGAGUACCGCUUACGGUUAAUAUUAUUGUCCAAAGACUUGAUAUUAAUGUUGUGUUUGGUAUCUUGAGAUGGGAUUAGCUGUUAUCUUGAAUUUAUUAUUUACUUAUGAAUAUUAAUUUAAACUUGUUUUUGUUCUAUAUUCAGCUAAUUCAUCUUUGGCUGUCACAAUAUCUGCUACUAUAAUUCUAUACCCAUGCUUGAUGGGACUAAUUUUAAGGAAUGGAAAAGGCACUUACUUAUAGUGCUUGGCUAUUUGGACAUAGACCUUACACUAAGGGAAGAACAACUUGCACCUCUCAUUGUGGAAAACACCCCUGAUGUUAAAAGGGAUUUUGAGAGGUGGGAUCGUUCAAAUCGCAUGAGUCUAAUGAUCAUGAAACACAGCAUUCCAGAAGCCUUUAGGGGCACAGAAUCUGAAGAGAUUACUUAGGCUAAGGGUUUCCUUGAUGAAAUUGAAAAAUGUUUUGCUAAAAACGAUAAGGUUGAGAUGACAUCACUUCUGGCUUCUUUGAUGUCUAUGAUGUAUAAAGGUCAAGGAAACGUAAGGGAGUACAUUAUGGAGAUGUUUCAUAUUGCUUCAAGACUUAAGGUACUUAAGAUCGAGCUUUUUUCCAAUUCUUAUGGUUUUGGCAUCGCUUCCUGCACAGUUUAAUCAAUUUAAAAUUAGUUAUAACUAUCAAAAGAAGAAAUAGACCCUAAAUGAGCUCAUUUCUCAUUGUGUGCAAGAGGAAGAAAGGUUGAAGCGUGGUAAGCCUGGACGUGCUCAUUUGGCCAAUGCCCCUGAAGAUAAGAGCGAGAAAAGAAAAUAUCAGAAUGAAUCUGCUAAGGGUCCAACUCAAAAGAAACAUCAACAAGCUACAGAGUUGUUUCUUUUGUAACAAGUCUGGACACGUAAAGAAAGAUUGUACCAAAUGUCAUGCUUGGCGUCAAAGAAAGGUAUAAUUCUUAAUUUGGUCUGUUCUGAUAUUAAUUUAGCUUCAGUACCUAGAAAGACUUAGUGAAUAGAUUCUAGUGCUACUACUCCAUAAGUGUUUCUAUGCAGGAUUGCCUGAGUUACCGAAAGCUAAGUGAUGGUGAAAGACACAUCUUUGUGGGCAAUGGAAAAUCGGUAAAAGUGGAAGUGAUUGGGCAUUUUAGAUUGUUAUUAGGAACUGGUUUUUAUUUGGAUUUAAAAAAACUUUUAUUGUACCGUCAUUUAGAUGGACUUUAGUUUCUGUUUCUUCAUUAGACAAAUUUGGAUAUUAUUGUUCAUUCGGAAACAAUCAAUUUAAUUUUUCUUUAAAUUCAAAUGUUAUUGGAACUGGUUAUUUAAAUACUUAUGACAACCUUUAUUUGCUAGAAGCAGUUACAUCCUAUAAUGAAACCUUGCAUGUGGAAUCACAUGGUAUUAAAUGCAAAUUAAAUAAAGAAAAUUCAGCAUCAUUAUGGCAUAGGCGCUUAGGUCAUAUUUCAAAAGUUAGAGUUGAACGUCUUAUGACUGAUGGUAUUUUAAAGUCCCUUAACUUCACAGAAUUUGAUGUCUGUGUCAAUUGCAUUAAGGGGAAACAGACCAAAACCAAGAGAUUGGGUGCCAACAGAUCUUCAGACAUCUGAUAAUGCUCUAAAAUAACGUAUUUUUAUGUAUUAAUCAUGUGUUUAUUCUGAGCUUGAUCCUACUAAUUUGAGCUAUUUAUGUCUUUUUAUCUUUUAGGGAUUGAUUUGGAGGCAAAAGCAAAAUUAAGGGACAAAAGUACGAAUUUAGAGACACAAUGGGCUGAUAUGCGACACAAGAAAAAGAUUGUGCCAAAAGUGCGAGCAUGGAAGACACAAGGACUAAAACGCAAAAAGAAGAGAUUUUAUUUUAUAAGACUCUAUUUUAUUUAUAUUAGGAUAAUUAAUAUUAGGAUAAUUAUUAGGAUUAUAUAAAUUUUAGGAUUUUAUUUUAAUUAUCUUUAUUUAUCUUUAAUUAAUUGUAUUUAUCUUUUUAGAAUUUAAGUUCAAUUAGACUAUCUCCCUAGCACUAUAAAUAAGGGGUGAAGUCACUCUAUUUGGGGUGCUCAUCUUUUUCUGUAAACACUCUCCCCUUGAUAGUCUAGGUUUUUGUUUCUUCAUAUUUUCUUUCAAUAAAAUUCCCUUAUCCAUUUUUAUAUUUAUUUUCUUUUCCACCAUUAUCAUGAGCCACUAAAACCUAUCUAGCUGAAAGUUGUCAAUAUUCCCCAAAAAGGGUUCUUGAGGCCUAGAACCCGCACUUAGCCUCCUCGCUAAGUAUUCAUCGUUUCUCUGCACUAUGGGCUGACGCUUCCGUCCAUGCCCCUUAAGAAGUAAGCUUUUCAGCAUAUGCAAAGGCGGCCGCUUUGUAUGUUUUGGAAGGAUUGCAUAGUCGGUUCAUUAACUUACUGCGUCAGAGGUUGGCGAGCCAAAGAGUCAAAAUGGCGUGGGAUUCGCCAUUGAAAAGCAUUGAUCUAGCAUAGAUUACUAGCUAAAGUUAGGUUCUCUAAAAAUCGUAAGUCUAAUCUUUGGAGCUGGUGGUCAUAGGCGUCCUUUUCCACUAUAACUGGCUUACUUGAGUUGAGAAGGGUUACUUAAAAGCCAAGGAUUGAACCCAAGGCGGAACGAGACAACCGGAGGCUGGAAUCUCGCCACAUAAGAAACUUUCUCUUUUCCCAACUCUAUUUAUUUUUCCUCAUUUCAAUUUCUGCAAUUUAUUUUCUCAAAUCCAAUUCACUUUAAAUUCUGUUUUUAUUUUCCCAAAUUCUUAAUUUUAUUUUUUUAUUUUUCAGGAACGCAGGUUUUCUUAGCCAAGAAAUUAUCGAAGAUUACAAGAAACGAGCAUUCGUACAAUCCGAUCCCUGAGGAUUCGACCCUACUUCCUAUUUACUGUUAUUUUUACUAUUUUACAGGAAAUAGGAUAUUUUUGGUGCUCUAAACGACGCAUCAAAUUUUGGCACCGUUGCCGGGGAUCGGUAACGUACUAAUCUUGUUUUUUUUUUGUUUCUUAUGACCAGAUCUGCUCCAGGAACUCUUGCGUUUGAUUCAGAGAUUGAAAAGACUGCGAGAGCUAAUUUCAAGGAAACAAAGCUAAGGAAAAAGCAGUCAGCGGUGGUUGGAACUCAAAGCAAUCCACCGCCAGAAAUCAUAAUCGACGACGAAGCAGAGUCUAGGGUUAACGAAAACCCUAAUCAAACUUUUGAAGGUGAAAAAGUAGAAGUCGAUUCCCCAGAAGAAGUGCUUAACGCUAGGGUUGACGUAAACCCUAAUUUAGCACCUCAACCUAUGGCUUAGACAAUUCGGCAACUGGCCGAAGCGUCGAUAGCAAUUGCCACUAUGCAUCGCAUAUCCUAUUAUGGAUACUGAUUUUGAAUUAAAGUCAGGCUUGAUCCAGCUACUGCCAACCUUUCGGGGUUAUAGAACGAAAAUCCCCACAAGCAUUUAAAAGAAUUCCAUAUGGUUUGUUUGCGUAUGAAACCUCAGAGGGUAACUGAGGAUCAAGUUAAACUACGUUGUCCCUUUUUCCUUAGCAAAUUCUGCUAGGGAAUGGUUAUUUUAUUUACCUCCUGGAUCUGUAAUGACUUGGGCUGAUCUGUCUCGUUUAUUUCUCAACAAGUUUUUUCCAGCGUCGCAUGCAGCCGAGUUAAGAAGAGAAAUCAUAGGCAUAAGGCAAAAAGACACGGAGUCUCUGUAUGACUACUGGGAGUGAUUUAAAAAGUUAUGUGCAAGUUGCCCACAAUACAGUGUAACGGAACAGUCUUUACUCCAAUACUUUUAUGAAGGCCUAAAACCCAUGAAGAUGAAUAUGGUAGAUGCCGCUACUAGAGGAUUGUUGGUCAACAUGACUCCACAACAAGCAAGAGACUUGAUCUCCACAAUGGCUGCAAAUACUCAGCAAUUUCGAGCCAAUCAUGAACCCCCUAGAAGGGUUCACCAGCUAAGUAAUUCGACCUUAGAAGAUAAGGUUGAUAGAAUUACUAAUAUUCUGAAUUCUCUUGUUGCAGAAAAAGUAAAGACAGCCCGAGUAUGUGGAAUAUGUGCUACCCCUGAACAUACAACUGAUGCAUAUCCCAGUUUGAAUGAUGAUACUAUGGCCCAUUUAGAUGCUAUAGGAUAUUUUCCUAGGCCACCACAAAGGCGAUACGACCCUUACGCCAAUACCUACAACCCAGGAUGGAGGGACCACCCUAACUUUAGUUAUGGGGCUAAUCCACAAUAUAACCAGCCAUACCAAAAUGGGGUCCCACAACAGCCAUAAGAUUCAGGUAAUUCUCUGGAAACUUUGGUCAAAAAUUACCAGCUAAUGUCAUUGAUUUUCAAUAGAAAACUCUUAAUUUCCAAAAAGAAACGAAGGCAUCUAUAAGAGAAUUGACCACGUUAAUUGAGAAAUUAAGUUCUCAAGGGAAGCUACCGUCGUAAACAGAACUAAACUCGAGACAGAAUACAAAUGCAAUUACGUUGCGAAGUGGAAAGGUGCUGGAACCAAUUCCUAGCAAGAAUCUUGGUCAAGAAAUCACCUAGGAAACUCUAGAAAAUGACGAACAGAUCUGAGCGAAACUCCCACUGCCGAAAAUCCAACCUCCAUUCCCAGGAUGAUUAAAUCAGUGUCGAAAAAAUAAGGAAGACAAGGAGAUACUCGAAACAUUCAGAAAUGUCGAGAUCAACAUGCCACUGUUGGAUGCCAUCAGACAAAUUUCAAGGUAUGCCAAAUUCCUUAAAGAGAUCUGCACCAAAAACGAAAGUUAACAAGCAAUAAAAAGGUAAGUGUUGAUGAAAAUGUUUCCGCAGUGCUACAGCGAAAAAUGCCGGUUAAAUGCAAAGAUAGGGGUAUGUUCACUAUUCUAUGCAAAAUUGGUCAUUUAGGAAUUAAAAAGGCUAUGUGCGAUUUAGGGGCGUCCAUAAAUGUAAUGCCUUAUUUUAUUUAUGAAUCACUUAACGCGGGUUUUUUAACAAAGACAGGUGUUACCAUUCAGUUGGCAGACAGGUCCAUUGUGCAUCCCGAAGGGGUCCUCGAGGACGUAUUAGUCAAACUACAAAUUUUUAUGUGAUAAAAAUGGAGGAGGAUAACACUCCUGGGUCUUUAGACAUCUUGUUGGGAUGACCUUUCCUUAGUACUGCGAAUACUAAGAUUGAUGUACGAAGCAGAACCCUCACGAUAGAGUUUGAUGGGGAGAUCGUGAAGUUUAAUGUUUAUGGCACUAUUAGUCACCCAAGUGAAGUCUUGGAUGUAAACCGUGUCGACAUAAUUGACUCAUCAGUAGAACAAACUUUUGAGUCAUCUUAUGGAGAUAAACCUAAAAUGAUGUUUGAUGAUUUUGAAUCUGUUAAUAAAUUAUUAGCUCCCAUGAAUACUAAACUUCUACCUCCUGUUGUGCAGGCACCAGAUCUAAAAUUAAAACCACUUCCCGAGCAUCUCAAAUGCACAUUUUUGGAGAAUGAUGAGACCAUUGCUGACUUAAAAGGGAUCAACCCCUUGGUGGAAAAUACGAAACCAAAGAAAGAGGCGGAAGGACGAUUAAACCCAAAUAUGGUGGACGUGUUAAAAAAUGAGAAUUUCCAAGCUCAUAAGAAUGAAAGAAUUCAGCUGGAACAGCCACAAUACUAGUUGGGGCGUCAAGCUAGCGACGUUAAACAAGCGCUUGUUGGGAGGCAACCCAAUUUUUUAUUUUUAUUUUAUUUAUUUUAUCUUAUUAUUUAUUAUUUUCAGAUAUUAAUAAAAUUCUCUUCUUUUGUCUAGGUAAACCGAAGCAACAAUAGGGAGAACUUAUUACCAUAAUGCGCGAAUGAUAGUAACUACACGGGGAGUUCUUCUAAACUUUUCUUCUACCUAUUUAUUUAUUUAUUCCACAUCGAGGACUAUGUGGUUUAAAUAGGGGGAGGCAUUCCUUAUUAUUUCUAUCAUUUUAGAUGCUAAAUCUUUGUUGUUGUUGCUGCUGAUUCGGUUGUUGCUGCCCAUAUAAUUUUUUUUAAGAAUAUUUUGCCUCUUUUCAUGCCCAAGAAUUUGACCACCACUUGCCCACUGUUUGACCCACAUGCAUGAUUCUUAUCUACUGAGUUAAUUAUGAUUUUGCUUGAUAGAUUUCAUCUCCACUGUUUUAUUUCUUUUAGUUUAAAUAACUAUGAUUAAUAGAGUUAACCCUAUCUUGAUUUUGGUAAAUUUGAUUAAGUCUAAAUACGAAGAGGACACUUAAUUGCAUGCUUAAAAUAUGUUCAUGACUAUUAAGGUAGUUACCGAAACUUGUUUUUGACACUUGAUUGUUUUUCCUAAGUCCUCCAAAAUUAAAAUUUGAUUUAAUAAUAAUAAUGUUUCCGUGGUUAUGAGUGCAGCUUAAGACGUGACUAGCUGAGUAACCGGGGUAGGGUGCUUGGGUUGUCAUCCUAUUUCGCGUCAAAAGGUUGUGUGACGUGUUAGGUAAAAUUCCGCUAACCGGAAUUAAUUUCUAAGAGUAACCAGGGUGGGUGCUUGGGUUGUCAUGUCUCUUCGCGUCAAAAGGUAUAGUAUAUUCCUAAGUAAAAAUAAAUAAAUUAAAUUAAAAUUCUAUAACAAAAAGAAAAAAAGAAAAAAAAAGUCAUAUUAAUAAAAUGUGAGGACUAAAGGUAAAAUUGAAUAGGGUGUCUUGAUAGGUUUGGUAAAUUAUCUAAUUUUCAUGAAAUAAUCCAAGUCGAUCUUAAUUUUGUUUGUGUUAAUUAGAACACUUUUUCAAAUUUUACUUAAAUCAAGCUAAGGGUUCUCUUUAUUUUUCGUAUGCAUUUUGACUAAUUUUUAUAAAACUUUGGAGUAGAAUUUCUUUCAUGGCAGGAUUUAAUUUUCACAGUGGAUAGGAACCAUACUUGAGGGUAAGCAUGGACUAAAUAGGGGGAAUUUGAUAAUGCUCUAGAAUAACGUAUUUUUAUGUAUUAAUCAUGCGUUUAUUCUGAGCUUGAUCCUACUAAUUUGAGCUAUUUAUGUCUUUAUAUCUUUUAGGGACUGAUUUGGAGGCAAAAGCAAAAUUAAGGGACAAAAGUACAAAUUUAGAGACACAAUGGGCUGAUAUGCAACACAGGAAAAAGUUUGUGCUAAAAGUGCGAGCAUGGAAGACACAAGGACUAAAAAUGCAAAAAGAAGAGAUUUUAUUUUAUAAGACUCCAUUUUAUUUAUAUUAGGAUAAUUAAUAUUAAGAUAAUUAUUAGGAUUAUUUAAAUUUUAGGAUUUUAUUUUAAUUAUCUUUAUUUAUAUUUAAUUAAUUGUAUUUAUCUUUUUAGAAUUUAAGUUCAAUUAGACUAUCUCCCUAGCACUAUAAAUAGGGGGUGAAGUGACUCUAUUUGGGGUGUUCAUCUUUUUUUGUAAACACUCUCCCCCUGAAAGUCUAGGCUUUUGUUUCUUCAUAUUUUCUUUCAAUAAAAUUCCCUUUUCCAUUUUUAUAUUUUUUUUCUUUUCCACCAUUAUCAUGAGCCACUAAAACCUAUCUAGCCGAAAGUUGUCAAUAUUCCCCAAAAAGGGUUCUUAAGGCCUAGAACCCGCACUUAGCCUCCUCGCCAAGUAUUCAUCGUUUCUCUGCACUAUGGGCUGACGCUUCCGUCCAUGCCCCUUAAGAAGUAAGCUUUUCAGCAUAUGCAAAGGCGGCCGCUUUGUAUGUUUUGGAAGGAUUGCAUAGUCGGUUUGUUAACUUACUGCGUCAGAGGUUGGCGAGCCAAAGAGACAAAACGGCGUGGGAUUCGCCAUUGAGAAGCGUUGAUCUAGCAUAAAUUACUAGGUAGAGUAAGGUUCCCUAAAAAUCGUAAGUCUAAUCUUUGGAGCUGGUGGUCGUAGGCGUCCUCUUCCACUAUAACUAGCUUACUUGAGUUGAGAAGGGUUACUUAAAAGCCAAGGAUUGAAUCCAAUGCAAAAUGAGACAAUCAGAGGCUGUAAUUUCGCCUCAUAAGAAACUUUCUCUUUUCCCAACUCUAUUUAUUUUUCCUCAUUUCAAUUGCUGCAGUUCAUUUAAUUUCGCAAAUUCAAUUCACUUUAAAUUUUGUUUUUAUUUUUCCAAAUUCUUAAUUUUAUUUUUUUAUUUUUUAGGAACGCAGGUUUUCUUCACCAAGAAAUUGUCCAGGAUUACAAGAAACGAGCAUUCGUACAAUCCGAUCCCUAAGUAUUCGACCCUACUUCCCCUUUACUGUUAUUUUUACUAUUUUACAGGGAAUAGGAUAUUUUUGGUGCUCUUAACGACGUAUCAAUAUCUUAGAAUUAAUUCAUACAGAUAUUUGUGGGCCAUUUCCUACGGCAUCCUGGAAUGGUCUACAAUAUUUCAUAACAUUCAUAGAUGAUUACUCAUGUUAUGGGUACCUAUAUCUCAUUAAUGAGAAAUCUCAGUCUUUGGGCAUGUUCAAAACUUAUAAAGCUGAAGUUGAGAAUCAACUCAACAAAAGGAUUAAAAAGUCAAAUCUGAUCCUGGUGGUGAGUACUACGGUAGAUUUGAUGGCUCAGGUGAACAAUGUUCAGGACCAUUUGCGAAAUUCCUAGAGGAAUAUGGUAUUGUCCCAUAACACAUCAUGCCAGGAUCACCUAGUAUGAAUGGUGUAGCUGAAAGAUGAAAUAGAACUCUUAAGGAUAUGGUAAGGAGCAUGAUUACUCAUUCUACCUUACUUGAGUCCCUCUGGGGAGAAGCAUUAAAGACAACAACUUACAUUCUGAAUAGAGUACCCAAUAAAGCAGUUGCAAAAACACCUUAUGAGCUUUGGACAGGUCAAAAGCCUAGUUUAAAGCACUUUCACAUUUGGGGAUGUCCAGUUGAGGCAAGGCCUUAUAGGUCACAUGAAAAGAAAUUGGACUCCAAAACAGUAAGUAACUACUUUAUUGGUUAUUCUGAACGAUCUAGGGGCUAUAAAUUUUAUGAUCCCAUAAUAAGGAAUAUUUUUGAGAUGGGAACUGCACAUUUUUAAUGAUGUUGAGUUUGGAGGGAGAAAUAAGGUUAGAGACAUUACUUUUGAGGAUGAAUUGGAUUCUAACUAAAUUCCUACUAUCACUUUUGAUGAUGUUUAGGUUCUUAUACCUAUCAUUGAUUAGGAAGUGAAUCCAGAACCUCUACAAGACAAUGUUGAACAACUCUCAAUUCAAAAUGAGAUAAUUUUUCUAGAAGAACAAACUCAACAACCUCAAGAACAAGUGUCAUUAAGGAGGUCCACAAGAGAAAGGAGAAAUGCUAUUCCAGAUGAUUAUAUUGUAUUUCUCCAAGAACAUGAGGAUGAUAAUGGAAUGAUGGAAGAUGAUCCAAUCAACUUUCAUCAAGACAUAAAAAGUUCUAAUUCUUAAAAGUGGAUUGAUGCCAUGAAAGAUGAGUAUAAAUCUAUGCAACAGAAUAAAGUUUGGGAACUUGCCCCAUUACCUGAAAGUGCAAAACCAAUUGGUUUUAAAUGGAUAUUUAAAACCAAGAGGGAUGCAAAUGGUAAUAUGGAGAGGUAUAAGGCGCGUCCUAUAGCUAAAGGAUAUACUCAAAAAGAAGGUAGUUAUUUUACAGAGACUUUCUCUCCAGUUUCAUCGAAAGACUCCUUCAGGAUAAUCAUGACGCUUGUUGCUCAUUUUGAUCUUCAGUUACAUUAGAUGGAUGUCAAGACUGCGUUUCUUAAUGAUGAUAUUGAAAAAACAAUUUAUAUGGUGCAACCAAAAAAUUUUGAGUCGGAAGACUCAAAGAAUAUGGUUUACAAAUUGACAAAAUCUAUCUAUGGACUCAAACAAGCUUCUCGUCAAUGGUAACACAAGUUUCAUCAAAUAAUUAUUUCGUUUGGUUUUGAGAUGAAUAUUGUUGAUGAUUGUGUGUAUAACAAAUUCAAUGGGAGUAAGUACAUAUUUCUGGUUCUAUAUGUUGAUGACAUUUUGCUUACCGCUAAUGAUAUAGGCUUAUUAGACGAAAAUAAUAGAUUUUUAUCUAAGCAUUUUGAGAUGAAAUAUCUUGGGGAUGCCUCUUUUGUUUUAGGAAUUUAGAUACAUCAAGAUUGACCUCGAGGUAUUCUUGGAUUAUCACAAAAUAGCUAUAUCGAUAAAGUACUCAAAAGGUUUGGCAUGCAGAGUUAUAGACCAGGUGACACCCCUAUCGUUAAAGGAGACAAAUUUAGUCUUACUCAAUGCCCUAAAAGUAACCUUGAAAUUCAAGAAAUGCAAAAGAUUCCCUAUGCGUCAGCUUUUGGGAGUUUAAUAUAUGUUCAAGUUUGUACACGUCCGGACAUUGCGUACAUUGUUGGGAUGUUAGGCAAAUAUUUAAGCAACCCUAGUAUAGACCAUUGGAAAGCAGCCUAAAGGGUUAUGAGAUAUCUUCAGAGAAUAAAAGAUUACAUGCUUACUUAUAAGAGAUCAGAUCUUUUAGAGGUCAUAGGGUAUUCUGAUUCUAAUUUUUCUGGAUGCAAAGAUAGUAGAAACUCUACAUCAGGCUAUAUUUACAUGUUAGCUAAAGGAGCUAUAUAUUAGAAAAGUGUCAAACAGACACUUGUAGCUUCGUCCACUAUGGCAGUAGAGUUUGUAACAUGCUAUGAGGCAUCAAACCAUGGAAUAUGGUUGCAGAACUUUGUUAUAGGGCUGCGCAUUUUGAAAAAUGUAGAAAGACCACUCAAAUUAUUUUGUGACAAUUAGUUAGCAGUGCUAUAUUCCAAUAACAAUAGGAGUUCAUCUAAGUCAAGGCAUAUUGACAUAAAAUUCUUAGUUGUAAAAGAAAGAGUGCAAAAUAGUCAAAUAUCCAUAGAGCACAUUGGGACAAACUCCAUGAUAACGGAUCUGCUCACAAAAGGUUUACCACCCAAUGUCUUUCAUGAGCACACUGCUCAUAUAGGUGUUACAUUGUUUGGGGAUAUCAUGAUUUUGUGGGAGUUUAUAUUUUAUUUGUUUUAUAUUUGUUUUUAGACAUUUAUGUAUUUGGUUAUUUUCUGGUCAGAAAUAAAGUAUUUAGUUUAUUCAUUAUGUUUAUUAUUUUGGUACUGACCUCACUUAAGUUUAAAAAGGACCAGUUGGAAAUAGACAUGUUUAUAUCAUAUUGCAUGUAAUUUCCAUGCUACACAUCCAUACUUGGUCUAUGUCAUUUGGUUGUGUUAAUAUACGUGAUCAUGGAUGGAUUUAGUUACGAUAUAUGUAAAAUCGCCUUGGUUCUAUGUUAACAUAAUUAAUGGACAAGAUUGUUUGGAAUACCUUUUGGAUAUGAUAGUUAAAUUUUGAGCUCAUAAGGUUAUAUAAUGACAUAUAAUUAUAGAGUAAUUAGUAUUUAUAUAUGGUCCAAGUGGGAGAUUGUUGGAAAAUAUGGACAUCACAUAUAUAAUAAGGGUAAUUACAUGUUAUUAUUUACUAUCAUAAUAGGUUAGCCCAAAUUAAAAGUGAUCUAAUUUGGUUAAAAUUUUAUCGGGCUUUAAUUAUUAAAUAAAGUAUGGGUCAAAUAUGUGUAGAUACUCUAGUAAUUGAAUUCUAAUCAAAUUUUGAUUAAUGAUGGGCUAAUUAGAAUUUGAUUAGAACUAAUAUGCCAAGGUUAUAAAUAUUAGGGUUAUGGUCCCCAAAUUAUACACAAGAUAUCUUUUCUAAUAUUCCAUCAUUAGUAAAGAGAGAGCAAAUAUUCUCUAAAUUUCUUGUGUGCUAAUUUGGAAGAUCAAAUCCCCAAGAUCUGGUAAAACUUUAAGAAAUUCAUGGAUUCAGGUACAUUUCCACAUCAAGUUUUAUUCUUGAUUUGUUCUUAAUUUAUUCCUGAUGGUUUGACAUGAUAGAUCCUGGUUUAUUAAGUUUUAUUUAAGAUUUAUUUUACAAAUCUAACAUUAGCAGCGCUUAUCAUAAAAAUGCCACUAAAGGUCAUGUUCUUUAGCUGCGUUUAUGUGUAAAGCACCACUAAAGGUCAUGUUCUAUAGCGGCAUUUGUGUGUAAAACGCCACUAAAGGUCAUGUUCUAUAGCGGCGUUUGUGGGAAAUCACCAUUAACUUUAACAGAUUUUACUAAAUUGUUUUAAUUCAUAUAGAACCCGAAUUUUCAACAUAAUUUCUUGUAACAUCAAAUCCAACCAAAAAAAUUCAAAUCUAAAUGAUUCUAUCAUGAAAGAAAUAUGUAUAUGAACUAAAUUAAUAAAUGAAAUAACAAAAUAUAUUUUAUUCGAAAGUUAUAUUGUUAAGAUAUUCUCACAAUAAGAAAACAAAAUUCUAAGAUGCGAAUUUUGCGACUGCUGAAACAUCUUCAUCAUAUUCUGAAGCUGUAGCUGAUGUUCAUCAUAUUUUCUUUGAGCCUCUAUUUGUUUCAAUGAUACCUCCUCUUUAAGUUGAGCAAUUUGCUCAACUGUGCUCGCUUGCAUCUGAGCCAUCUGGUCUCUUAACCUCUGAACUUCAGCUUGAGCCUGAUUGCUGAAGGCGUGUAUUGUUGCGAGCUGGAUUCAAAAUAUUGGGUUGGGCUAACAAAAGAUCCUUAAAAUCAAACCUGACCAUACCUUUUAGGACCCAAAAAUUCAGUAAUAAUUCAGUUAUCAAUGUUGUCCAGAUUAACAGAACUAUCACUUGAAGCGAUCGCUUCAUACUCCACCCUUUUAUCCUUUAGUUUCUCCUAAUAUCAAUGAAGGAGCUAGAAACAAAAUAUAUAAUCAAACAAAUGCAACAUAACUUGGCAUUAUUUGCAUUACAAACGACGAAUUUAACGAUAACUUUUUUUUCAUAUUAGGUAGCCCUUCAUUUUAUAUGAACAAUGAGAGAACUUUAUUGCACCAUCAUUUGUUUUGAUAUUGAACUUUUACAAAUUUAACGAUAAAUAAUUAUUAUUGCUUCAUGCAUUUAAAAGUAAAUAUAUCACUAAUUAAAUUUUCAUAAUCCUAUAACCAUAAUGAAUCUACUUUUUUUAAAAAAAGGUAUAAAUUUAACAUGUACCUAUAAUAAUGCUUGCCAGGAUACUACUACUAAUCUUUUGAGUCUGCAUUUUAUGCUCGCAAUGGAAUCCUGUACUACUGUAUUCAUAAUGAAGAGGACAAGACUCUGAUGAGCAAUAGUUGCUAGGUAUAUUCAAACAAAGCAUGCAGCAAUUUUGAUAAUUCUCACAGUUCCCAUCUGUCAUUUAUGAAAUGAAUAAAAAAAAGCUUAUAAUCAUAUUAUUCGGUUAAAGUAUCUAAGAGGUCCUUAUACUAUAUGGAUCGGAUCAAAUUAGCCCUUCUAUUAUUAAACGGAUCAAUUUAGUACUUAUACUAUUAAAAAUAAUCAAAUAAGUUUAAAUUAUAAAAGCAUUAACAUUUACAGUAUAAAAAAUGUCUUGAAUUAUUUUCAAAAUAAAUUCUAUUUCAAAAAUAAAAUAUUUCAUUUAUAGAACUAUAAAAACUUUAAAUAUAAUUAACUCUAUUAAAUAGUAAGUGUUAAUUAGAUAUUUUAAUAAUGUAAUUUAAAUUAUGUAAUUUAAUUUGUUAAAUAAAAAAUAUUUUAAUAUUUUUUCUAAGAUAAUAUAUAUAUCAGAAAAAAAGUUCCCUAAGAAAAUGCUAAUUCGUACCUUUGCAUAACGUCGAAUAAACGUGAAUAUCCCUAUCGCGCACACAAAGAUGAUUAGGGCUCAACCUCGACCAACAAUAUUCACCAUCAGAUCUACAAGAAGUGUCCAAACUAUCGUUUAAAUGGCAUUCUCCAAAUAUUAGUGUGCCCCAUUGCAAUUGUGUUGGGACAUACGUCCUACUACUUAUAUCAGAAUCUUCUAAAUUAUAGUCAUCAGAAAUCAAGGAAGCAAAUCCGCAUGAUCUUUUCUUCUUACUCAUGAUUACGUAGAGUGAACUAAUACCCUGAGGAAAAUAAGCAAGACAACUAGCAACAUAGGAAUUCUCGUUAUUAAUCCUAAAACUUGGUUGCAAACAUCCGCCUAUAAAAUUAACUGUUUCAUUGCUGAAAAUGUGAAAAUAAAAUAAAAUAAAAUAAAAAUAAAAAUAAAAUAAAGAACACAGAUUUUUACGUGGAAACCCUUUCGGGAAAAAAACCAUGGGCAGAGGAGAAGAAAAUUCACUAUGUCAAAUUCGAAUUAAUUACAAGAGGAAUAGACUAUGUCUAUUUAUAGGCUUAUAAAGCCAUAUUCUAGUAAGACUGAAACACCUUAUUCUAAUCAAUAUCAAAUAGAUUGAAUUUAAUAAGGUUUAAAAAACCCUAUUCUAAAAUAAAAUAAAAGAAGUGUAAUUCUAUAUGGAUUCUUCUUUUAUUUUAUUUUACCACUGUAUUUUAUUUAAAUAAGGAUUCGGGUCACUUAAUUCUAACAAUCUCCACCUUGACACGAAUUCUCAAUGAACAAGUUCUUCAUUGCGAACUCUCAACGAACAAGUUCUUCAUCUCUUCCAUAAAACCCCUUAAGGGUUUAACUUUAACAAUGAACACUAACCAAGUCUAAGCAAUGCUCAAACUUGGUUAUAGGAAGUGACUUAGUCAUCAUAUCUGCAGGAUUUUCAUGAGUACUAAUUUUGCUCACAACUAUAUCACCACGAGCAAUAAUAUCACGAACAAAAUGAUACCGAACAUCAAUGUGUUUUGUUCUCUCAUGAAACAUUUGAUCUUUUGUAAGAAUGAUGGCACUCAGACUGUCACAAAAUACUGCGCUGAUUUGAAGGUCUUCAUUGAGUUCGCUAAAGAGUCUCUUCAACCAAAUAGCUUCUUUACAAGCCUCAGUAAUCGCCAUAUACUCAGCUUCAGUGGUAGAAAAAACGACUGUAGUUUGCAAAGUGGCUUUCCAACUAAUUGCACAACCUCCGAUUGUAAAGACAUAACCUGUGAGAGAUCUUCUUCUAUCAAGGUCUCCAGCAAAAUCAGCAUCAACAUACCCAAUGACUCCAUCUCUAGUUCUUCCAAACUGUAAUCAAACAUCAGUAGUACCUAGUAAGUAUCUUAAAAUCCACUGAACUAUUUUCCAAUGUUCUUUACCGGGAUUCGCCAUGUAUCUGCUAACUGCACUGACUGCAUAUGAUAAAUCUGGACAUGAACAAACCAUAGCAUACAUGAGAGAUCUCACUGCACUAGAGUAUGAAACAUUUGACAUGUACAUAAUCUCAUCAUCUGAUUGUGGAGACAAAGCUGAUGAAAGUCUGAAAUGGGCUGCUAAAGGAGUACUAACAGGCUUAGCACUCUGCAUAUAGAACCUGCAAAGAACUUUCUCAAUGUACCCUUUCUCACUUAGGUACAAUUUACUUGCUUUUCUAUCUCUGAGAAUCUCCAUACCAAGUAUCUUCUUUACUGGUCCCAAAUCUUUCAUCUCAAAUUCUUCACUUAGUUGGGCUUUAACCUUUCUUAUCUCUCAUUUAUCUUUUGCUGCUAUCAACAUGUCAUCAACAUAAAGAAUUAGAUACACGAAAGAACCAUCACUAUUUUUCUUAAAGUAAACACAACUGUCAAAACUACUUCUUUUGAAAUUAUGAGAAGUCAUAAAGGAAUCAAACCUCUUGUACCACUGCCUUGGCGACUAUUUCAAACCGUAAAGGGAAUUUUUCAGCAAACAAACAUAGUUCUCUUUUUCAGAGACUGUAAAACCCUCUGGUUUUUGCAUGUAAAUAUCUUCCUCAAGUUCUCCAUGCAAAAAUACAGAUUUUACAUCUAACAGGUCAAGCUCCAAAUCAUACAUGGCCACAACACCAAGCAAAACUUGAAUCGAACUAUGCUUCACAACUGGGGAGAACACAUCUGUUAAGUCCACUCCUGGAAUUUGACUAUAACCCUUUGCAACAAGCCUUGCUUUAUAUCUGGGUUCUUCAACUCCUGGAGUCCCUUAUUUCUUUUUAAACACCCAUUUACAACAAACAACCUUUUUACCCUUAGGAAGUUUUACAAGAUCCCAUGUUCUAUUUUUGUGGAGUGAUUCCAUCUCCUCUUGCAUAGCAAACAUCCACUUUUCUGAGUCUUCACAACUAAUCGCCUCAGAAUAAUUAGAUGGUUCUUGAUUCCCAUAUAUAUCUUCAGCCACAUUUAAAGCAUAAGUAACUAGAUCAGCCUCGGCAUAUUUCUUUGGAGGUUUAAUUUCUCUUCUAGUUCUGUUUUUAGUGAUAGAGUAUUGCGGUGAUGAAGCAACUCUAUUCUCAAUUUUUGUACUGGCUUGAGGAGUCAACUCUGUAUUAAUCUGAUACUCCACCUACUUUUGAUUUUCUUUAUUUGAAAAGUUGGUAGCAUAGCAAUUUCGUCAAAAACAACAUCUCUGCUAAUCACAACUUUUCUAUUUUCCGGACACUAUAACUUAUACCCUUUUACACCAGCUUUAUAACCAAGAAAAACGCAUUUAAUGGAUAUCGGUUCCAAUUUUCCAUUAUCAACACGAGCAUAUGCAGGACACCUAAAGAUCUUUAAAUCAGAAUAAUUAGCAGGAUUACCAGACCAUACCUCUUGUGGAGUCUUUUUCUCAAUGGCAAAGGAUGGAGAUCGAUUGAUCAAAAAACAUGCAGUAGAGGCUGCUUCUGCCCAAAACGACUUUGGUUAGUUGGCAUCUGACAACAUACAUCGAACCUUCUCCAUGAUCAUUCUGUUCAUUCGUUCUGCAACACCGUUUUUGCUGUGGAGUAUGACGAACUGUCAAGUGUCUCACGAUCCCUUCUGACUUACACAAUCUAUUAAACUCAUCAGAAUAGAAUUCUAAACUAUUGUCUGUGCGGAGGUAUUUUAUUUGUUUUCCCGUCUAUUUUUCAAUCAUAAUUUUUCAAGACUUAAAUGCGAAAAACACAUCGCUUUUCUGCUUCAGGAAGAACGCCCAAAAUUUUCUAGAAAAAUCAUCAAUAAAGGUUAGCAUUUAAUUAGCUCCACCUCUCGAAGGCACUCUAGAUGGCCCCUACAGAUCAGAAUGAAUAUAGUCUAACGUUCCUUUCGUGUUAUGGAUUCUUCUGGUGAAUCGAACUCUUUUUUGCUUCCCAAAAACACAAUACUCACAGAAAUUUAGUUUGCAAAUUCCUUGCCCAUCAAAAAGACUUCUUUUGCUCAAUUCUACCAUGCCAUUCUUACUCAUAUGCCCUAGGCGCAUAUGCCAAAGUUUAGUAAUAUCAUCAUCUAUCAAGGAAGAGGAAGCGACAACUGCAUCACCAAUAAUAGUAGAACCCUGCAAAAUAUAUAACUUGGAAGUCUUUCUUUGCCCUUUCAUCACAACAAGGGAACCUUUGGAAAUCUUUAAAACCCCACUUUCAGUUGUGUAUCUGUACCCUUUUGAAUUAAAGAGUACUCAACAAAAUAAAAUUUCUCUUCAAUUCUGGAACAUGUCGCAUGUCACUAAGUGUUCUGACGACUCAAUCAAACAUCUUAACUUUAAUUGUUCCAACAUCUGUGAUUUUACACGAAGUAUUAUUUCCCAUCAAAACAACUUCUUCAAACAUUGUUUCGUAAGUUGUAAACCAAUCCCGAUUGGGACUCAUGUGGAAGGUGCAACCUGAAUCAAGUAUCUACUCUUCGCUUACUUUAGAAUCAUUGACAGAAGCGACUAGAAGUUCACCAUUGCUGUAGGCUUCUACAACAUCAGCUUCACCAAAAUUUUCUAGUUGUUUUCCUUUUUGAUUCAUAGCCUCCAUUUUAAUUUUGUUCUGUAGCUUAUAGUACUCAAAUUUAAUGUGCCAUUUCUUCUUGCAGAAGUUACAAGUUUUACCUCUGUUUGAAGACUUCGAUCUACCCUUAGAUUUACUACGGGGAUUCCGUUCCUGUGUCCUACCACGAUCAUCAUUAGCAUUCCAAUCUUGUCUCCCAUGAACAAUGUGACUCUCUCCCUAAGAGUCGGGUUUAACCACAAGAUGCUUUAUCUUAUCAUACAAGGUCAAAGAAUCAUAAACCUCAUCAACUGUGAGAGACUCGCGACUAUAUAAAAUCGUGUCUCUAAAGGUUGAAUAAGACGGGGGCAAUGAACAAAGUAGAAUCAACCCUAGAUCUUCCUUAUCAUACUGAACCUCCAUGGCCUCCAACUUUGAGAGGAUUUCUUUAAAGACUGUUAAGUGUUCGUGUACAGACGCACCUUCCUCCAAACGAUGAGCAUAAAGACGUUGCUUCAUAUGCAACUUGCUUGUUAUAGUUUUUGACAUACAUAUUUGUUCUAGCCUCUUCCAUAAUGCGGCGACAGUCUUCUCUUUCAUCACAUCCUGCAGAAUUUCGUUGGACAGAUGUAGAUGUAAUUGUGUUAACGCCUUUUGAUCCUUACACUUCUUCUCUUCAUCUGUUAAUGUCGAAGGCAUCUUAUCUAUCCCUAGCAGGGCAUCCUCUAGAUCCAUCUACGCAAGAACUGCUUGCAUCUUAAUCUACCACAAUGCAAAUCUGGUGUUGCAAUCCAACAGCGGAAUUUCAUACUUCAAAGAUGCCAUUACCGUGAUUGAGAUUAAUAACUUAGAAGCUCUGAUACCAAUUUGUGAAAAUAAAAUAAAAUAAAGAACACACAGAUUUUUACGCGGAAACCCUUUCGGGAAAAAAACCAUGGGCAGAGGAGAAGAAAAUUUACUAUGUCGAAUUCGAGUUAAUUACAAGAGGAAUAGACUAUGUCUAUUUAUAGGCUUGUAAAGCCAUAUUCUAGUAAGACUGAAACACCUUAUUCUAAUCAAUUAGAUGGAAUUUAAUAAGGUUUAGAAAACCUUAUUCUAACAUAAAAUAAAAGAAGUGUAAUUCUAUAUAGAUUCUUCUUUUAUUUUAUGUUACCACUGUAUUUUAUUUAAAUAAGGAUUCGGGUCACUUAAUUCUAACAGAAAAUAGUAACCAAAUUACCGCAACCUGAAGACCAAAAACUAUUAUUAGAAUCUGAGUAGGAAAAGCGGGUGCCAGUUAGGUUGAGACUCAUCCCAUUGUGAUGGUCUUUUUGACAGUUGAAGUAAGUUAUUGGAUGAUUGACCUUAACAGUGCCACCCAAAAAGUUAAACUCCAAUAUUUUCAGAUUUGUGUCAUUUAUGUUUAAGAGCGGCACUUUUUCCCCAUUGGCGGUUGUGUUGCAAAUUACUUCAAACCAGUCGUCAUUGGCAUAAUCUUGAUCCUUCAUUCUAAAGGGGUAGUGAAAAGUAACAUUCCCAUGGGAUCCUACCUUGUAGGUGUUGAAGUUGAUAUGUUCUAGUCCCGGUCUUCUGCAUCCUGCAGAUUUAGCAAAAAAAGGAGUAAAUUACAAAAUCUACUAAAUAUAUGUACAUUAAAUUAAGGGUGUGCAAAACUCAAUUCUAUUUGGAAAAAUAAAAAAAAUUCAAAUUUCAAAUUAAUUGAAAAGUUAUUCAAAUUAUUCAAGUCAACUCGAAUAAGUAAUUCAAGUUUUAAGUUCAAAUUGAGUUGAAUUUUACAAUUAGAAUAAUUCGAAUAACAGAUUGGUGUAAGUACCCUUUUGGUCCCUAUCAAGUUUGAAAAUGAAUAAAUUAGUCCGUCUCUCAACAAAAAUUACAAAAUAGUUUUUAAAAAUUCUAAAAUUCAUAUUUUUUAAAAAAUUCUAAAAAAUUCUAAAAAUAUAUAAAGAAAGUUAAAAUUUUAAAAUUUUCUAGAAUAAUAAUUUUGGGAUCCUAAAUAAGUUAAUUAAUUACUCAAAUUUAUCAUACUAAAGUAUUUUUUAUUUUACUUUGAAAAGUUUUCAAAUAUAUAUGGUUUCAUAUUUAUGUGCUCUAAUAUGGAAUUAGUUAUACUGUAACAAAAUUUUAAUUUGACAUGUUUAAUUUUUUAAUUCAACUCGAAAACUUUCACUCGAUUCGACUUACUUAAAUUUUAUUUCACUCGACAAAAUUCAAAAAAAUUUCGAAUUGAGUUAAGAUGAUAAAAUGAGACUCACCAACUCGAUUAACUCGAAAUUUUUUCACUUGAUUUGAUUAAACACUCAUCCCUACAUCCAAUGCUUGUAAGAAAUAAAAGUAAUGUGUUAUUCAAAAUAUAUAUAUAUAUCUAAAAAGAAGUUAUAUAUGAAAAGUGUUACUCUUAACUAAAUUUUUAAUUAAAUUUGUGUGUUAUUUGUGAUAUUAAAUUCAAUAAAGACUUUUUUAUUAAAAAAAUUAUGGUUGAAUUUAUGUCAUACAAUAUUUUUAAUUAAAAAUACUUUCCUUUUAAAAAAAAUCAGUUCCACUUAAAAAGAAAUAGAUAUUUCUUUUUCACAUUCCCUUUUAAAUUAUGAUUUGAAUUUUUUUUAAGUAACUAAUGAUUCCAUUUUCAAAACUAAUGAACUUAGAUUUAAAACAGUAAAUAUGAUUGAUUGUAAUUGUGAUUUGUGAGCACCAUAGACCCUCUAUCUAUAUUCACUCAAAAGGAUACUAAUUUGUUUUUUUUGAGGACUUUGUACACACUCUAUGUUGCGAAUAGUAGAAAUAGUGUCCCAAUAGUAGUGUUGAAUACAUUAACCAUUAAAUCAACACAUGGAGUUUGAAUACGAUAUUUUGAAGUAAAGGCCAACUCUUUGGAAAAUAAAUUUCCCAAAAUUUCUGAGUCAUAAUAUUUUGUGGAAUGGAAAGUAUAUCCACAAAAUGAUCUAAAUCAACAUCUUUAAAUUGUUAUACCAAAUUAAUGAGGGAAUCGUCUUUGUCUUAAAUUAAACCUCUGAAAUUAGCAUAAUUUCAUAAAUUUUCUUUGCAAUUGUUUGGAAAUAAAAACAACCAAUUGAUUAGCUCAUCUUAUAUUCUGUGAGAAAGUAAAAUAGCAGCCAACAUGCAUGCAUUUGUUCUGUGGAAAUUAAAUUAAAACCAAAGGAGGUAUCACUAUCAAGAAAGAUGAACCAUAAGAAGACUCAUUCCUUUUACUAUUUAUUAUUCAUACUAACAAAAUAGAAAUUUCCAUUAAAAAGUAAGUUCCAUAACAUCCACUGAAACAAUGACAAGAAUUGGCCCCUAUAACAAUUGCAAAAACACCUUGGCUCCUAUACUGAAUUUCUAGAAAUCCUUCAGUGAUUUUAGUGCAAUAAGAAUGAAAAAUGGCCUAAUCAUGAUUUUUAUUUGAUCACAUUCUAAUUAUAUUUUUUUUCCACUCACAUUGCUUUGAGCCCGUUUCAUGCUUUUAUUUCAAUUGCUUGGCUUUUAAUUCUCACAAUGCUUUUGUUCACUCAAGUAAUUUUUCAUUUUACCCACAAGCUUGUAAAAGUCCUAUAUUCACUAUAUUGUACCAUUUCUUAUUUUUUCCUCUCAAAUAUUUUGAAAUCACCAAGAUACCUCUACCUAAACUCGAGUUAUUUAUGGCCCGAUAGUUUCAAUAUUACCGAUCAUUAAGAAGUGUCAUAAGGAUCAAUUAUGGGAACUAGGGAUAAAUAGCAUAUUGGUAUGGUUAUUUGAGAAUUAGUUAUUCAAACAAUGAUUUAGGUCAUCCCUAAGAAUUCCACCAUACACACAGCUUCGUAGGAGUCCUAUAUUCAUUGUAUUGUACCAUUUCUUAUUUUUUCCUCUCAAAUAUUUUGAAAUCACCAAGAUACCUCUACCUAAACUCGAGUUAUCUAUGGCCUGAUAGUUUCAAUAUUACCGAUAAGAAGUGUCAUAAGGAUCAAUUAUGGGAACUAGGGAUAAAUAGCAUAUUGGUAUGGUUAUUUGAGAAUUAGUUAUUCAAACAAUGAUUUAGGUCAUCCCUAAGAAUUCCACCAUACACACAGCUUCGUAAGAGUCCUAUAUUCACUAUAUUGUACCAUUUCUUAUUUUUUCCUCUCAAAUAUUUUGAAAUCACCAAGAUACCUCUACCUAAACUCGAGUUAUCUAUGGCCUGAUAGUUUCAAUAUUACCGAUCAUUAAGAAGUGUCAUAAGGAUCAAUUAUGGGAACUAGGGAUAAAUAGCAUAUUGGUAUGGUUAUUUGAGAAUUAGUUAUUCAAACAAUGCUUUAGGUCAUCCCUAAGCAUUCCACCAUACACACAGCUUCUUUCAUACUUUAAAUUUAUCAGAUGAAUAAAAAUUGAUUCAACUAUCAUGUAUCCAUAAUUAUAUAUCGUGCUUAUUUAUCUUAUGGCACAAUCAAACAUUUUUACAUAAGUUUUUCUAGUCUAUUAUCUAAUGUAACUAAGUAACCUGUACCUUGACAAUAGCCCGAUUAUCCAUUGCAAAGUUUAAUUUAGGUUCUAUAAAUGGAGCAAACUGGAAGGAAUUAGCUCGACAAGCAGAUGUGGAUGGUUUUCUAGUAGGUGGAGCUUCUAUAAGGUUAGUAACUUUCUUUCUUUGCUUGUGUCACUAUUGAUUCAUUUAUUUAAUGCAUUUUCUUCAGAUUGUGCACAACUAUUCUUAACUUAUACAUUUUGUGUUUUUACUUCUCUCGAUCAGUCUGAGUUUAUCGAUAUCAUUUAGUUUAAGUUUAACAUCCACAAAGAGAUGCUAAUGUAUAGUUAAAACUCAAGAAGUUUUGUUAUCGAAAAAUUUGAUAAUUUUUUAUGGCAAGAGAAGAGACUAAGCUAGUUUGUUUAUUUGCAGGGAAAAUCUGACGAAGAAUAUGAACAAUCAGAGGGGUUUCGACAGGAGUUGGAAUUGAAGGUUCGAGAGUUGUUGACAGAGCAGUAAUGGUGCCGGGGAAAAAUGGCGAUAAGUGUAUGUUGGAUUCCGUUAAUAUCCCUUGCUUUCUUUAGUUUUCUCGCUCAAUAAAGUCUUACUAUUACUACGAUGAGUUAAUCACCUCUUCUUAUUUCACCUUCACAUAUAAAAAAAAGGAAGAGAAGGAGGAGGUGGAGGUCAACUAAAGAAGGAUGAAGAAGAGAAAAAGGAGAUGUGGAUAAUGUUAGUAUCUCAAGGCUGCAGCAAAUUUUAAAAUAAUAAGACUAAGUCUUAGGGGGAUUUGUUAGCUUGUUGGUAGGAGGAAGAGUUGUUAGCUUGUUAGUAGCAAUUUGAAUUUAUUUCUUGUUGAGGUUGUUACUUGGGACUUGUAUAUAAGGGUUUCUUUGUUAAUCAAUUAAAUUAUCCCUUCAUUCAUAUUUUUUUCUAUACUUCAAUUAGUUCUUUGCUAAACCAACAGUGGUAUCGAGAGCCAUUUUUCUUGAGGGACUUGUGAGAAAAGUUUUGUGAGAGUUCUGAGAAAAAAAUUUUGAGAGAUACACUUGUGAGGUUUUUUUUUGUUGAGGAAAAUAGAAUCGGGAUCGAGUAACCUGUCCAUCUUAGCCCCACUUGUGUUUGAUGGAGAGAAUUAUCAAGCAUGGGUCAUGAGAAUGUAAGCAUACAUGGAGGGUUGUGAUUAUUGGGAAGCUAUUGAGGAAGACUAUGAGGUGACUCCACUUCCUAAUAAUCCAACUAUGAAUCAGAUCAAAAUGCACAAGGAGAGAACCAUCAGGAAGGCUAAGGCAAGGUCUUGUCUUUAUGCUUCAGUUUCGCUAGCCAUAUUCAAUAGAAUUAUGGCUUUUGGAUUAGCGAAGGAAAUAUGGGACUACCUCAAAGCUGAGUAUCAAGGAGAUGAGAGGAUCAAGAGCAUGAAGGUGUUGAACUUGAUCAGAGAAUUCGAAAGGCUACAAAUGAAGGAGUCUGAGUCAAUCAAAGAAUACUCAGACAAGCUGAUAGAUAUUGCCAACAAGGUAAGAGCUUGUGGGGUUGAUCUCUCUGAUUCUAGACUGGUGCAGAAGAUACUUGUCUCCGUGCCUGAGAAAUAUGAAGCAACUAUUGCCUCUUUUGAGAACACUAAGGACUUGACUCAAUUGAAAGUAGUGGAGUUGAUCAGUGCUUUACAAGCACAAGAGCAGAGGAGGCUAAUGGGGCAGGAAGGAAGCAUAGAAAGAAGUAUAGAAGGAGCAUUGAAGGCUAAGAUGCAGCAAGGCGAAAAAGGAGAGGAACAAAAGUGGAAUGAAAAGAAGAGUGAUUGUAAUAGUGGUUCAGAAACUGUUGCAAAAAGUAAUAGUACUGAAAAUUAUAAUAAGUAUUCUUCAUGUAAGUAUUGUGGAAAAUAGAAUCAUCCACAUUUUAGGUGUUGGAGAAGGCCAGAUGUGAAAUGCAUUAGGUGUAACUUGAUGGGGCACAUUGAGAGGUUUUGCAAGGAAUUGAGAAAUCAGCAGUAGGGUGAAGUACAUGCUGUAGUUGAAUAAGAAGAGGAUCAUUUGUUUGUCGUCUCUUGCUUCUCAUCAAGCAUUUUAUGUGACAGUUGGUUAGUUGAUAGUGGUUGUACCAAUCACAUUACUUUUGAUGAGAAGCUGUUUAAAGACCUUGAUAGGUCAUUGAAGUCGAAAGUCAAUAUAGGAAAUGGAGAAUACCUAGAAGUGAAAGGAAGAGGCAUAGUAGCAAUAGAGAGCUAUGCUGGAACUAAGUUGAUUUCAGAUGUUCUGUUUGUACCUGAGAUUGAUCAAAACUUGUUGAGUGUGGGUCAAUUGGUAGAGAAGAGAUUCAAGGUGAUGUUCGAAGAGGGAAUGUGUUUGAUCCUUGACUCUAGUGGCAAUGAAUUGUUUAUGAUCAAGAUGAAGAAGAAAAGGUUCUCAUUGAAUCCAUUUGAGGAGGAGCAAGUGGCAUCCAAGUAUCAAGAAGAUAAUCCUAUCAUGCAAGAACAACUGCAAAUCAAGUGUUUUGAGAAUGAUAUCUUGCAUGCAAAGGUAACUCUCUUGGAGCAGCAGGUGACAUCUUUCUCUGAUAAACUAUCAUCUUUUGCACAUGAAAUAUCUGAAGAACAUGCUGAGGAGCCACGGAAAAAGAAUCUAUCUCAGGAGAUCAAGAGUAAUGUGCAACUUUUAGAAGAGAAUAGUCGGUUAUGUUUCCAAAAUCAAAAGCCGAUUGAAGAAGUUUCAUAUGCGAAAGAAUUGACAUCUGUAGAUGUUCUUGAGUUUAAGAAUUUAGUUGGUAAGGUGAUUAAGUUUUCAAUGCAAAAUACAAAAUUGAAAAAGGAAUUAUUAGUUGCGAGAAGAUUGGUUAAUCAAACUAUAAAUCGUAUUAAUCGCAAGUAUAGUGAUAACACAAGAUCUUGAAAGAAGGGAAAGCACUUUGGCCACUCUUAUGACUUUUCUAGAGCAACUUGUGAUGAUUUUUAAUUAUGGAAUUUUGAUUUAGAUGGCAUUGCUUGCUAGGAAACAAUUAGAGGCAACUCUUGAAGCUACACUAGUCGAGAAGGAAUUCAUAGAAGGCAAAUAUUGAAGAAACUGGUUUUCAAAGAUCAGAUGACGGAUAUUUUACUAUAUUUUUCAUGUUAGUCAUUUUGAGUUUCUUAACAAAAAAUUUGGUGUCUUCUGCACUUGAGUUAGGAGGAGAAUGUUAGUAUCUCAAGGCUGCAGCUAUUUUUAAAAUAAUAAGACUAAGUCUUAGGGGGAUUUGUUAACUUGUUAGUAGGAGGAGUUGUUAGCUUGUUAGUAGCAAUUUGAAUUUAUUUCUUGUUGAGAUUGUUACUUUGGACUUGUAUAUAAGGGCUGCUUUGUUAAUCAAUUAAAUUAUCCCUUCAUUCAUAUUUUGUUCUAUACUUCAAUUAGUUCUUUGCUAAACCAACAGAUAAUUAGAGUUACCCUUCUUUUGAUUAAGGUACCCUUGGAUUUUGUAUUCCUAUUUGGACGUCUUCUUUAUUAAUAAAUUCAUCUACAUAGAAAAAGAAAGAAAAAACAUAAUCCAGAACUUGUAUAAUAAAUAUCUUCAAGAGAUCAAAUAGCAUUGAGUGAACCAAGUAUGAAUUCUUGGGCAACAACAAGACUCCACCAGUGUGUCAAAUAAAGAAGCUAAAGGCUUUCAAUCAAGAGAAAUUAUUUUAGGAGUGUUGGAAUCUAGAAAGAUGAAUUUAAUGGAAACGUUGCACUAUCGGUUGUAACUGUCCUAGACAUUGAACAACUAGGAUUGGUCUCCCAUGAAUGGAUCAUGUCAUCUAUUUCAGAUUCUUCAUCACCACAGUCUUCAAUAACAUUUCCACUUGAAGCUUUAGUCAACUCCAGCUCCAUUGCUACUUGUUUCAUGGUGGGUCUUUUCUUUCCAUUAAGAUUCAAGCAUCGUUUUGCUACCAGAGCCACAACUAUAAUCUCUUGUUCUGGAUCAUCCUUUACUACCACUGGAUCGAGAAUGUUAAAUAAGGAAUUCUCCUGCAUUGAAUGCAAAAAAUAAGAUACCAAGCUUCUCACUGGCUCUGAUUGUUCUGCGGAGAUAGGUUUUUGUCCUGUUAAAAGCUCAAUAAGGACAACUCCAAAGCUAUAAACAUCACUCUUCUCUGUAAAUUGAUUUGAUCGAAAAUAUUCGGGAUCCAUGUAUCCAAAAGUUCCUUGCACCCGAGUGGUUAGAUG
rnacentral:lncRNA from 1 species